rnacentral:lncRNA from 1 species
GAUUCAGACCAAAAGCUGAAAUUUUCUGGGUUUUCAGAUUUUUGCUUCAACUUUGAGAGAGCAUAACUUCCUAUCCACGGCUUUGUUUUCAAAAUUAAGCUAUGUACUUAAAGCUUGUAAUCCUAUCUUUAUAAUAGGCUUUGGUACAUAAACUUUUGUUGGAUUUGAGUGAGUGGAAAAUGAAGCCAAAAACCACAGCUUACUUAUUGUUUGGGAAGCCAUGGCUGGCCAGAGAGAGAGAGAGAGAGAGGUGGGGUGUUAAAUGGAAUUUCCAGUUGAAAAAUAUGUCCAGUCAGCAACUUAACCACUGAUUUAGACGGCGACUUAACGGAUGGACCUAAUUGUGUGACAUUGGAUAGUUAAUGGAGUAAUCGAUUGAAAUUGAAAGUUAAUGGAGUAAACUGUCAAGCGCAUGAAAGUUAAUGGAGUGACAAGUAAUUAGUUCUUUAAGAAAAGCCUAUCCGAUCUCUUCACUGGAACUAGUUGACAUUCCAAAGUUGGCCCAGACAGAUUCAUGUGAAGAACUUAAAGAAGCAAGGGUAAUCCUAUUUUGAGGCUUGCAGCCAAGCAAAAACUAUCCUUUUUAUUUUGUGCCUAAACCCAAAGUUCUUCCCACAGCCCCAUAGAAGAUACAAGUUACAACACACAAUGUGCGAUGCUUGAAUGUUUGCUCCUCCUCCUCUUCCUCUUCAAUGAUUCUUCUAAGUUAAAAAAUUGGCUUUUUGUGUGCCAUGAUAAGUUUGUGAACAUCCUUAGAAUCAUAUAACCAAGGUUUAAACAAUCUUAGAAAAGAGGAUUUAUUCAUAUCGUGAAACUACACUUUCAAAUGUAUGUAAAUAAGAGAGCAUUCAACUAAUACAUGUUAAACAAAAAUCAUGAUUUGUGACAUGUUAUACCAAGAUAUUUUAUCAACUGAACAUCUUCAUCUCUUAUAAGGUUUAAGUUUUAUGACAAAAUGUUUCGGUAAAGAUAUUGACUGUGAAUGUUUAAUUCCAGUUGCAGAGGCUCUUGCGUUUUGUGACAGCCUUGUAUAUGCCAAAGCCAAUGGCAUACCAGAUUGGAAGUGGAAGGAGACUCCAAGAUAGUCAUUGAUGCAGUUAAUGAGGUCUUUGAUCCUCCAUGGAGACUUAUUAAAAUAGUAGAAGACAUCAAAUCAGUAGCGGCUCAGUUUGUGUUCAUCUCUUUUAGACAAGUUUUUAGGGAGGCAAAUUUUGUAGCUGAUGCAAUAACACAUCUACGUCAUUCUUUGCCCAAUGGUAAUACUUGGGUGAAUAGAGUUCCUAUUGAAGCUACUCAUGUUCUUGUAUUUGACAUUAUAAACUCAAUUAUUUAAUUUUAAGUAUUUUUUAUAAAAAAAAAAAGAUAUUAACUGUGAAUCACCUUAUAAGUGAUAUUUUAUUCAUCGUUCUUGAAACGUGACAUUUUUUUUUCUCUAACAAUGAUUUAUUUGAACCUCAAUUUUACCCUAACUUGAAUAUCAUAUGAAUAUUAUCGAAUAUCUCAAAGGAAAGUGUCUCAAAAAUAACCAAUCCAAUCUCUUCGUCCAAGCUAAAAUCAAAUGCGAUUCGCUGGUUCAUACCACACUGCUCUUCCCACACUAUUUGCAGUCCCACAAAGAUCACCUCAUCCGAGCCGUCCACUCUGUUGACUGACACAUCACAACAGUCAAAAUCCAAACUCACAACUUCCAACAACACCAGAGACACAGUGCAAAGCCCAUUUGAUCCGGAAGCCAUUAAACACAGCAAAGAUUAAAGAACACCCACCUUUUCUGCUCUUAAAUCCAAAACCCAAAACAGAAAGAGCAACCAUUUUCUCAAAAACCCCAGGAGGGUCAUGAUCGUAUGCUGCUGGGUGCAUCGUAAUCGACGCCAUGAUCAACACCGCCAACGGUAUGAUGUCGUCAACGGCUUCUUCGUCGGCGGCCAACAACAACGCCCAGUCGCCGGGGCUAAAGACCUAUUUCAAGACCCCUGAGGGAAGGUACAAGCUUCAAUACGAGAAGGCUCACCCUUCCGGCCUUCUUCACUACCCUCACGGCAAAACUGUCACUCAGGUUAAAUUUUCAUUACCCAUUUUGUUAAUUUUACUUAUUUGAAGCAUUGGUUGUGUAAAGAUUGGAUUUUUCCUUUUUGGGUUUUUGAUUGUGAUGGGUUUUUAGGUUUGUGUUAGGAAGAAUUUAGCAUUGGGUGGUUUUAGCUUUGUGGGUUUUGCUCAAAAGUGAAAUCUAGUGGUUGAAAGGAGUGUUGUUAAUGUUGGAAGUGUGAGGUAUUUAAGGACCAAGAUUUUUUUUUUCGAUUACAUUAUAGGUGAAUUUUGGCUUUCCGUGUUUCUUAUUUGGUAUUGCUACAUUGUCUUGUAGUUACUUCUGGUAGAGUAAUUUUCGAGGAUUAUAAGUUGAUAGGGAUGUUUCAGGUUUGUAUUGAAACCUGUACAUUAUGAUAUAUGAGCUUAGUGUUGGCUGUUGAUUAUCAGGUAACGUUAGCGCAUCUUAAGGACAAGCCUGCCCCAACAACCCCGACUGCACCAUCUUCAAGCUUUAGUACUAGCAGUGGUGUACGGUCAGCUGCAGCAAGGUUGUUGGGUGCUAGUAAUGGGAGCAGGCUUAGCUUUGUUGGAGGGAAUGGUGUGAGUAAGAGUGUUAGCGCGAGUAGUAGAGUAGGGUCUUUGGUGGCUUCCAGUUCAAGUAAUUCAACUUCUACUUCCAACUUUGAUGGGAAAGGUUCUUACCUGAUCUUCAAUGUGGGAGAUGCAAUCUACAUUAGUGAUUUGAAUACUCAAGACAAGGUAUUCUUGGACUUAUUUGUUGUUGUUUAGGUGAUGGAGUUGGUUUAUGAUAGGUUUCUUGUUGCUUGCAGGAUCCAAUAAAGUCUAUACAUUUCAGUAAUUCGAAUCCCGUGUGCCACGCAUUUGAUCAAGACGCCAAGGAUGGUCAUGAUUUGGUUAUUGGAUUGAACUCUGGCGAUGGUAUAAAUGUUUGCUAGACUCUGAAAUCAAAUCUUGUCUUUGAAAUUUCAAAUUCUAAAGGUUGUAUAAAUGCUCUUGUAGUCUACUCAGUGUCACUGAGACAACAAUUACAAGAUGUCGGAAAGAAGCUGGUUGGGGCUCAGCAUUAUAACAAAGAUGGUUCUGUUAGUAUUAGGCAAGUGCAAAUUCUUUUCUUUUGUUUGUACUUGAUUUCAAGCUGCUUCCCAGAGAAUGCUAUAUGUUAACAUUUCUUGCUUGUGUUUGUCAUUCCUUAAUAGACCUCUUUUGAGAGUUGUGAGAUGGUUUGACUUCUUUGUACAGUUUUGUGGAAUAUAUUGCCUAAUACACUGUUUUCAACAGCCGUUGUACUAGUGUUGCAUGGGUUCCUGGUGGUGAUGGCUCUUUUGUUGUUGCUCAUGCUGAUGGGAAUCUGUAUGUAUAUGAAAAGGCGAGCUUCUAUUAUCUAUAGAAAUACUUUUCACUGCCUUUACUUUAAUAUUCCAUGAUUCUUUUUUUGGUUUCAAGUAAUCUGAGAUUCUGAGUGUGCUAUGUUUUCGUUGUUUUUUCAAUAGAGCAAAGAUGGUGCAGGCGAUACUUCAUUCCCUGUUAUAAAGGAUCAAGCUCAAUUUUCUGUUGCACAUGCACGUUACAGUAAGGUAUUGAGUUGUGCUUGUUUUCUUUUCAAAACACACGUUGAUGUUUCUUCUACAAGGUAUUCUGUUAAUUGAUAAGGGAAUGAUAUAACACAGCUGCUAUAUCACCAUGGGGAUUAGUAUUUCAAGUUUUAAAGUGAAUGGCACAAUGCUCUUAUACUGGUGUCACAGAUUGUCCACAUUUUGAUACAAGUUGCUUUCACCAUGGUCUUUGGGUAAUUUUAUACAGCGAAUUCCUAGUCUAAUAAGGGCACUUUGCUGGACUUGUGACUACUCAAUCUUCACUCUGUUAGUUGUUUUAGUUCAUAUAACAGUUAUAAUUGUUUUCAGCUAGGCUCUCUCUCUCUCUCUCUCUCUCGCUUGAUCUACAUCUCUAACGUUUCUCCCAAACCAGAAUCAUUAGGAGGUCUUGUGCCGGCUGGAUUUACCGUUUGUAACCCAAUUGGAUGCCUCUAUUAGAAUCUAGAAACAUAUGGAUUUAGGAUGAACCACAGAAUUCGAUGCUAAGAUAGGCUAUAGAUUAAGUAUAUUGUCACGUGAUCUUUGUCCGUUACAUUGGUGAUAGUUACUGAAGUUCAUACAUCCAGAAGUGACAGGAGUUUGUCUACACAUUCAUCUUUUAAGGUCGCAGCACUAGGUAAAUUUGAUUGAAAGGUAGAGCAUGGAAGCUGAGGUCCUUGACUAUAAAAGUGUAAAAAUAUUCCCUUCUCAUUAUAUGUUAGUGAAGAUGCAUGGUGCAUAAUUUAACUUGGAGCUGGGAAAUUAUCAGUGGUUGUUUAAAUAACCCUUUUUUUUUUAGGCUAGUAGAUCCUCUUACUUUUAACAGAGGGUAUUGUGGUUGAGAUCUUAGUGUUUAUAUGUGGUGUGCUGGAAUGUUUUUCUUGUGACUUGGCUGAAUAACUGCAGUUGCAUGUACAAAACGACUGAUAAAUAUUAGAUAAUUUUUUGGAUAUAUGUGAAUCGGACAUGCUGAGUUUAUACUUCUGCUUCCUUCAGCACUGAGAUUAUUUGUUUUUUGACUCCUACUAUGCUUGUGCAGAGUAACCCAAUUGCCAGAUGGCAUAUAUGCCUAGGUUCAAUCAAUAGUAUUGCUUUUUCAACUGAUGGAGCGUAUUUAGCAACUGUUGGAAGAGACGGUAUAAUUUCAAUAUGAUGUUGUUUGCAUUGCCCAUUUGCUCUGUUUUAUUAGUUUCUUUUUGAAGAAUAUGAGCUAGAAUUAAUUACGAAAUGCAGGUUAUCUACGUGUUUUUGACUACUCAAAAGAGCAGCUUAUAUGUGGGGGGAAAAGUUACUAUGGUGCUCAGCUAUGUUGUGCUUGGAGGUUUGCAGUCUUUAACUGUUUUGUUUAUAAUUUUUUAUUAGCUUGCUGCUGAUCUUUGUUGAUAUUCUUCCAAUCCCCUAGCUUACCUUUAGAUUUAAGUUCCUGUAUUUGUGGCUCUUUUUGUAUUAAGAUAUGAUUGUUCUUUUGUGAUGAUUGUGUGAUUGAUUGCACAUGCUUCUGAACAGCAUGGAUGGAAAAUACAUACUGGCAGGAGGUGAAGAUGAUCUGGUUCAAGUUUGGAGUAUGGAAGAUCGGAAAGUUGUAGCAUGGGGAGAGGGGCACAAUUCUUGGGUAAGUUUCUAGAAUCAGGCUUGUUAUAAAUACCUGAUAGAGCUGCCGUAUUAAACUAUUACUGGAUGCUGCUGGCAGGUCAGUGGCGUGGCGUUUGAUCCAUAUUGGUCAUCACCAAAUUCAGAAGGUAUCGGGGAAACUGUCAUGUACCGGUUUGGUUCAGUUGGUCAGGUAUCAGAUAAUUAGGGCGGUUCUUAUCAAUAUUUACAUAAUUAGAUAAUAGAAAAGCAUAAUGCUGUAGUUAUCGUACAUUCAUUUCUUAAAUUUAAUUUUUUUUUUUGGCUCUCAUCUUUAUGUUCAUGCAUAUAUUUGACAUUUCAGAUAGUGUAGUGUAAGAUGGAAGUGGUCAACAUACAAUGGUCUGAUAAGAAUACACUUAGCAUAAGAACUUUUCAGGAUUUGAAGUGAGUGCAUUUGAGAAAAUUUAUGACCUUGUUAUUCCUCUUUAUUCUAGUAUUUUUCCUCAAACCCCUUAUUUGUUUUCUCAGAUAAAAUUGCCUUUUGCAAAAAUUGGUUAGGAAAAUAUUGAAGUAACUGAGGUGGUGCGUGUAAUUUUUAAAUUAUUAUUAGUCCUGAUGUUUGUAGUUUUCUGAUUGUGUGCAGGACACACAAUUACUUCUGUGGGACCUGGAAAUGGAUGAGAUUGUGGUGCCAUUGCGCCGAUGCCCUCCAGGUGGUUCCCCCACAUAUAGUACUGGAAGCCAAUCAUCUCAUUGGGACAAUGCACUACCAGUGGGUACGUUGCAGCCUGCUCCAAGCAUGCGAGAUGUUCUAAAGAUCUCACCUCUUGUUGCUCAUCGUGUGCACACUGAACCUCUCUCUGGCGUUUUGUUUACUCAAGAAUCAGUUCUUACUGUCUGCCGUGAAGGGAAUAUUAAAAUUUGGAUGAGACCUGGGGUUUCAGAAAGCCAAUCAAGCAACGGGGAAACUGUGUUAAGUCCCAGCUUGAAGGAGAAGCCUUUGCUGUCAAGCAAGGUUGCCAGUACCAAUCUUAAGCAAUGAUCUGUCAUCAGAGAGUAAGCAAAACAAGCUUCUUUCCAUAGAGUACAUUUUGAUUUUCUCGUGUAGCCAUUUUUCUACUCUUACCAGUUGGUUUUUCCCGAAUAGCACUUUGUGAGCGUAAUCUGACUGGCAUUCCCAAUUGCCAUGCGACCAACUGAUUCUAUUGUAUAGAAAAUCGCCAUUGAAGGCAGUAAGAGAAACAACCCCGUUUGUAAUUACAGCACGGCUGUUUCUGAAACAUAUUUAUUGAAUGACGAGAAUAAUAUGUUGUUCCUCCCUUGAGAUCUGUUUCUCUCAGCAUUUCCCAACUGGUUCUAUUAUAAAAGCUGUUCAUAUCAUGUAUAUAAUAGACAGCAAGACAAGUUGUUUUUUUUUUGUUUUUUUUAUUUUUUUUAAAUUAUUUGAGAUUACAGGCUUUCUAAUCUGUGUUAGAAGAUCAUGUCAGAAUGUUGUUUCUUCCUCCUUGGUAAUCAAGAAUAUAUUGAGAUUUAACUUCAAUUAGUGUUAGGUUUUAAACCUGAGUAUGAGAUUCCAUACCUAGACUUUUACCAACUCGAUCACUCAUGCUAGUUAACAGCAAAAUAAGUUUUGUUUCAGUUCAUUAAUUACAAAGGUAACAUUAAACUUCAAGCCUCAAAUACAAUACCUUUUCUACCAAGAAAGGUUCCAAGUUCUAGUUAUGUGUUUGGAAAGCCAAAGAUUCAACAUCCGAACUAACAUAUACAUGUGAAAUGGUCAGUAUACAUCAACGCUAAAAGCUCACUACAGAUCAUUUGUAGUUCACAGCCGCACUGGACGCUGUAGAUGCAGUGUAUAGUGUAUACUAACGAUUGUGAAUCAGCUGCCACGAACAGCUUCAGCACCUUCAAUUUCAUUUUCAAGAUGCUGAGGAUUUGUCUCUGUUUGUUGUGGUUGAUUCGGCUGAGUCACUGCAGCAGUACCAUGACGUUGAUUUGACCGAGAAAGACAUCUUUCCCUCCAUCUCAAAGCCUCGAUAAUAAUGGAAUUCCCACACAUUGUAACUCCAAACCCCGUGAAUGUGGCAAGAAGAACCGACAGAACUGCCUGCAUGUGAAUCUGUAGACCCAACAAAAACAUAUAAGUUCCACAGGUAAGAAGCUGAAAUAACAGUCCUCAUCUCAUAUUAGAUGUCUUAUUCGAGAUUAUGACACUUCUACAUUUUACUGAUUAGGAAAUUCCUCAUUCUAAGCGUUUUUAUCACAAACCGAGAUAUAUAGUUCACAGAGUAUCAUCACAUUUUCAACUUGUAAAUCUCAUAACUACUUGAUGUCAGCAGAAUGUCUUACCAAUGAAUAAAGUAGAUGAGCUGAGAGAACCACCAAAAAGAACUGAAUGGUCGCAUAAACCCAGACAUAUUUUCUUCUCACUGCAGAAAAAUUGCAAAGUCAGUAAAAUAGAAGAUUGGUUUAUGCAAGUAAACUAUGGUACGAAUGAAGAAUUGUAAGCUGGUCUACCCAUUGUGCUUGCUGUCAUGGAUGCCAAAAGACCCAAUAUACAGGAAAAAGGAAGAGAGAGCGCAAUUGCACCUGAUCCCAUUUUUCCUACCUGUGCAUGUGAUCAUAAUAGGUUAUUCUUUAGCCAUGUUGAAAAAGAAAAACAUAUAGAAGUAGAAUAACAUACCAGAAGCUGCUCAAGAAAACAGAAGUAUGCGAGCAUGCUAACUAUGACGAGAAUGGGAACAUCCUGCCAGACCCUGGAAAGUUUGCAGUACAUAUCAGUUAUAGCAUCCUAGAAGGUGGUCUAUAUAACAUUCACUCCAUUUUACUGCAUUAUGCCCCCAUUGACAAUAAGUGAAAGACGGUCAGGCAAACCAUUUACCUUUUCCAUCUUUCUCCUUCCAAACUGCAUAGUUUAUACCAAGUCCACUUUCGUUUAUUGAUCUUGGGUAAAUCCUCAAUCAAGAUUAUGAAUGAAAGUCCUUAAUUUUAAACGACAUUUUCUUUUUCUUUUGAUGAACAGACUUCUAUUUAUCUAAACAAGUAGCUGCAUCUUUUCACAACCACACAAGAAAUUAAGAGCAAAGACCAUUUCCUGCUCAUAACAGCAGUUGUAAAUUUCACUUGCCUGUAUUGAGUAACCUCAGGCUGCUGUGCUCUAGUUCCACGUAAAUUAUGUGCUUGAACAUUUUGAAUUCGUAAAAGCGUGACAGGCAGGUUCUGGACCUCUUGCUUGCACACAUCACAUGUUUUAUUACCUUUAAUGCUGAACCAUUUUACAGCACACUCUUGGUGGGCCAGAGCGAGGUCGCCUUUACAGCUGCAUUCCAUCUUCAGGGUGUCAGCACCUUCCCCCAGUUCAACUAAGCAAAUUCGACAAACAGCCUCUUCAGCGGCAAUAUCUUCACCAUCAUCAUCACUUCCAUCUGAACCACAGAACUAAGAUAAGGCAUAGGUUGGUUAUCACUAGUUGCAAAACUAGAGUUAAAGGUUGCUACAAUCUGAAAGUACAGAUAUCCUGGCACUUCAGCAGAUCUCAAUGAAAAUGAUAUGAACAAAAGCUCAAAAAAUAAUUGGAACGUAAAAUUACCAUUGUCAUCUUUUGGGGAGGUGCAUGAAGUUAUUGAAACAGUUCUCUCCAUCGCUCGUGGUGUGGAAGGAAUCACUCGAAUGACACCACCUAGACAUACACUCCCAUCUUUAUUAAGCACAGGUACUGAAUGUGAACGAUGAAUAGGCAGCUGGCGCCCUCCUUUCUGCAAAGUAUAAAAUUGGAAGAAUAAGGUGGGAUUGCUGGAUGAACUGAUGAACAUAUUAUCAGGAUUGAUUGGAAGUUUGGAACUUAAAAAGGAAGUAUAACUCCAGCAAGCGAUACAUGAACAAAAUAUUUAAACUCUGCUUAAAGUAAUAGUACAUGAAUAAAUUGGUAAAAAGCACCUUUCCUGCUAAUCAUGCACCCUACAAAACUAAACUCAUGUUUGUUUUGAUUUUGAUAAAUAUCCCCUCUAAAAUAUAGCGAACAAACAUAACUAAGGUUAAACGGUUACUUUUUUAAUCUGAGAAGUCAAACUUCAGUAUAUGAAAUUAACGGGAAAGUCAAAGAACACCCUUCAAAAGAAGGCUGCACUGUCACUUGGCUUCAGUCAUUCCUUAGAAUUUUGUAAUUGCACAGGAAAAUCAGUGGAGAAUCAUCAAGCAAGAAGAAAUGCCAAAAUAAAGGAAAAGUUGCAUAUAUACAAUAACUGUGCAGCAAUUUAUUCUCCAUUUGCAGGUAAUACAUUCACAUGAACAAACUUUAUGUAUGAUGGAGUAAUACUACAUAAUACAACAUUAGAGAUUUACACUGAAACAGGUAAGGCAUGGUAUUCAACUUGAACUCAAGAUUUAUUUUAAGUUUAACUUGAUGUCUCCAAGCAUUGUGAUCAACUAGUUUUUUUCGCAACAAACAAACUAAUUUCAAGUGGUCAAGUUAGAAUGUGAUAGCUACUCACAAGAGAACUUACCAGAUCAACAGUGUUCCUCCCAUGCAUAGACUCUGGAUUUGAGUGAGAAAUUGGAGUUGUAGGCAAUGAUGAUGUAUUCUUCAGACUUGGUGUUAAAAGGUUUGUAAGAGAAAAUGUCCUAGAAAUUAUAGGCCUCUGACGGGUUGCCGUAGGUGUACCUCCUAGUGCAAGCGUAGCAGCCUUCCGUAUCUCUGAAGUAGUGUUCCGAUACUUGAAACUUAGUUUGGGAAGGAGGCUUUUUAUGGUUGUCUUAGUUUUUGAGGAUGAGGGACCUGGGGAUCCACUGACUUUGUUUAAAUAAGGGCUGGGUAAUGGGGAGAAGUUUACUCUUUUGGGAGUGGGACUUGGAGUUGGGGGCAUGUCUAUUCUCACAAAAUCCUCUUUGGCAUCCGCAAGAGUUCUUGAGGGUAUCUGUAAGGCGAGGUUCUGUCGUCUCCAUGGGUGUUCAGGAGGAGUUUCUUCAAUUAUCUCAGGGGAAUUUCCAUCCUGUAAAAGGAACAAGACACCGCUUGAGAUCAGCAAGAAUAUGUCUUUCACAUUAAACCUGAUCAAGUACCAGUUAUACAACAAUGACGCUCAAAUAAAUGAGAAUUGUAAAUUGAAGAUCUAGCAUGAAUCCAUUUAAUUUCACUACCCAAGAUAUGUAAAAAGGAAAAGAAACCAACACAGGGGGAAGACCAAAGGUGAUCCUUAUUGAAGCACAAGGAAAUAUGAAGGAACACAAUGAUAUAAGAGCAUCAUGACAAAUUGACAAUGCAGAAUUUUAAACCAAACCCAACAGUAAGCUCUCCUUUUUCUCUCAUGUAUCAACAGCUCCACGAAGAAUUACAUGAUUUUACAAAUACCAAGCAGAGUUGAAUCACUUGAAUGGCGUAAAAGGUGGCAGAUUAUGGACCCCUAAAGCAUUUGAAGUCUUUCACUAAAUCCCAUGAUUGCUGCUGUUUAACAGUACUAUGAUACAUCAAUUAUGCUUCACCCAAUUGAAGUAAAGAUAAAAACUCUAGCACAGAGGUAAAUCAUAAGCACAUAUAUCUGGUAAAAAGAAUAGAACCCAGAAGUAAUGAAAAUCAUAAACAGGAAAGAAACAUGCAAAGCAUCACAAAACCCAUCACAGAAUUCAGCAAGGAAAGCGAAUGAGGUACCUCUUGGGGUGAAGGAUCAACUUGACUGGUGGAAAUGUCAGCAGCAUCAUUUUGCUUAGCAGAAGCUUCUUCUUCUUCAAUUGCCAUACUUGAAUUCUGACAAGGCCUUUGUUUCAGUUUCUGCAAAUAACACUAGAACCCUCGAGAGGUGAAGUAAAGAUGAGCUGAAGAAACACCAAAAGAGACAAGUGGCAGCUGAGAGGGAGAGAAUAACAGAGAAGAAGGCAGCUCGGAGCGACAGAGAGAGACGUAUAUGACUCAGGUAAAUGCCAAAGCAGAAUUUAUGUUAUUUUUUCAAGGGCCCACGGUUUUGCAACAGGGAUUGAAAAGGAGUUCGGCACCGGCGACAAGUGAUCAAAGGGUUUUAGCUUUGUCGUGUGUGAUCUUUGCAGUUGGACGUAUAUGAGUUAACCAUUUUUGUUUUUCUUAUUCAUUUGUACAAAUUUUAUCUAAAUAUUCCAUAAUUCGUAGAGGAUGAGGGAAUACUAAUAUAAAUAUGUUGUACUAAUACUGUGUUAUUUUUCAAGUUUAUGGAACAAAUUAAUGCCUUUUCUUUUUAUUUCGAAAAGAAAAGAACAUUAUGUAAUAUGUAUUAUGUACAAACUCAUUUCAUUAGCUUGCAAAUUUUCGGAUUGGAAUCAGUAUCGGAACCAAAACACUUCGAGCAGAGUAAAUGAGGUUCGGAUUGCACAACCAAACGCCCUUUGAGUCCAAUGAAGGGCCAGUGUUGGUAUGGAACAAUGUCCCCAAGAAGCCAGAUGGAAAUCAGUUUUGCUACCAUAGCUAAAUUUCCACCGUCUUAAACAUGAUUCCCCCUUUCAAGAAAAAAGAAAAGAAAAAAGAACAUGAUUCCUUGAGUUUAAUCCCUAUCCAGUGGCCUUCUUGUAGCUAAUUACCACAAUGUGACAAUCCAGUAUUCCAGUCUAUGUUUCUUUUCCAUAAAUGAAAAUCUAUGCCGGAUUUUUGGACCGUGCCGGAGAAAAAGAAUAAUGAAAACAGCAGGUGGUGACUGGUGUGGUAUAGUUCAUAGGAAAACAUCGUUUUCAGGGCAUCCAUCCCCACCGCGAAGUUUGAAGUUUUGUCCUAGUUGAGCAGAUUUGAAGUGAUCUGGACCAUUAUAGAUGAUCAAUAAUAAUCACGUUGACCGUACCAUAGAUUAUAUAUAAUCAGCAUUCAGUAUUCUUUGUACCUUUCAGAAAGAGUACAAUAUAGUUUUCUGCAGAGCAGCCAACGUAGCUUAGAGAGCAACAUGUUUGUGGCGGAUAGGAUAUUAACAAUGAUGUGGACUUCUUAAAUAUAAGAAUAGGGAUCAUAACAAGUAAGGAAUCACAACAAAUCCAAAUAUUUUCUCAAAUCUUGCGUGUUUGUACAAAAUCAACACUAACAAGAUAUUUUCAGUUUAUACAAGAGUAUAUUAAAGCUUUUAGAAUAGAAGUUGAUUACCAUUAAAAUUCAACAUCUAAAUGGACGUAGUUUAUAGUGUUUACCAAACUUACAAAAGAAAAAUCCGGAGUACCAAAUUAAAACUAAUAAAGUAAAGCAUAAUAUUGAACCAUUGGUACACUCACUAUUAAACAAACCUCCGAUCAAAACUUAGUCUCGUCUCCUACAAUUAUUUAUGUUUCUAUAUUAACUUGCCGAGCACGCAAGUGUGGUACGAGCAACCUAAACAUCUUCAUAGUGGACAUAUAUAGAAUAUGCUCCUAAUAGAUACUUAACUCAGUGAAGUAGAAUUAUUCACAUUUGAACGUAGACCCCAAAUCUCAUACCUAUACCCAGACACGGACCUAGGCCCAAAAGCCCAAACCCACCUCCAUAUAGCUUCCACCAUCGCCGGAGACAUGUCGUCGGGAGUAUGGUCCCUCCCGGCCCUCAGCUUGAAGCAUCCCCGUAGAGGCAUACUCUUCCACUGAAGCCUUAAAAGAUAGUUAAGCGAAAUAUCAAAAGUAUUACAGUUGAUUUUUGACAAUUUUAAAAAAUAGUGUGUUAUACAUGGUGACAAGGAUUUUUAUUUUAAAUUUUUUUUUUAAAGAUUGAUGAAUUUCAUUGAUCGAAAAGAUCAUACACGAGCUCUCUCGCUCAAACUAAGGGAUCUGAAGAUCACAUAUUACAUAUUCUUGUUUAGAUAGUGCUCCGAAUUCACAUUUGACAAUGACUCCUAGACUCCUACAUCUUAAAUAGAGAAAAUAUAAAAUUUAACCUAACAAUAUAUCCACCUAGAGACCAUUGUGGUGUACAUCAAUGCUGGUACAAUAAGGCUAAACUGUGUAAAUGACUACUGAGCAAGAGAAACAAGGCAAAAGCCCACUCCACCCUAAAAAAAGAAGAGAAUAAUGUAUCCACGUUAUAUGAUUUUGUUGCUGGCUCACCAUCUAACUAUUAUCUUUUCUGUUUUGUUAGUAAUUGUUAGAAGCGCAUCAUCAAACAUCUGAUGAAGUGUUUUGUAACAAAAAUUAUUAAAAACUUUUGAUGCAAAUAUAUAACAAGAACUAGCUGGAGGCUUACACCACUUCAACCUACCUUAUAAACGUAGGAUUAUUAGAUUAGAUUAAUACUACUAGCAUCAGCAAACAGUAUGUAAAUAAUUUUGAAAGUUGCUAUAUGUAGGAUUAGAUACUCUAAUUUAGUUUAUGUGUUGUGGAAGUCAACUUACCAGAAAUAAUUUGUAUUUGAUGGCUGAGGUUUAUCCUUCAUAUUUGUAAAGCAGCACUAGGGCAAAGCAUCAAUCAAAGUCUUAUAUAUUGCCCUUGUAAGAAUGUAGUGAAAGCAAAGCUUGGCCUUUUCCGGUCCAAAAGAGAAGGUGCUUCUGCACAUCUGGCUUGACAAAGACCCCAAACUCCUAGAGCAUUGUAUCAUAAAUUGUCACCACUUAGUCAUUCAGAUUGAGAAUCACUACUGAUCUACUACCACUUUCACUAGUGCAAUGGAGAACCUCGUCAACAUGUAGUUAAUUGACAAUAAUUGGAAGGCUUGCCUUUUCUAUAUCAUGGAGUUUAUGAAUUCUUGAGUGCAAGAACAAUGAAGAUCGACCAUACACGUAUACUUAGGUUGGCUCCUUUAAAGUGAGAGGGAUGAGUUCCUUUCAAGUGUAUAAAUACAGAUGAGUGAGUGUCUUUGUUGCAAAGAAACGAGGUGUGCGUAUGCUUCUUAGUUACCGAGCAAUUAUGAAGUGAGAUUGUGACAAAAUUUUAAGCCAAGGAUAACCCAAUAAAACAAUAAAAGAUAGUACAAGUUACCGUUUAGAAGAAAAUUACCGUUUCAAAAGUUACCGUUUAGAAGAAAAUUGUAAACAUCAAUGCUACACCUCAUUUAGGGAAUUAGGGGUCAUCAAAUCCAGCAGGGCUAGAUGCGCUGCCCAAAACCAAUGGGUCCGGGCUAGACGUCAAGCCAAUUGUUAAUAUUUUAGGGCUAGGGGGCUAAUAUGGGGCAAAUACCGACAUUAUUAGACAUGUGUGUGUGAGACAUGUUAACGACUACCGCAUAACAAUUGGUAUCAGAGUCAAAAUUUUGAUUGAGAGUUGGUUUGUUUUGUCCCGAUGUAGGUCGAGCCUUGGUUUGUUCUGUGACUUAUGUCCCAAUAUGGAUUUGGUUUCCUGUAGACAUAGAGUUAAGUUACACAUGAUUGGAGAUGAAAGAUCUCACAUGAGAAAAGUCACAAAUAAAAUAUAAUAUAUAAAUACGUAAAUCAUACAUAAUUGUAUCGAGACAUUUUGUAAUUAAAACCCAAAUUUUUUUUUUAAUAAAAGGUCGAUGCGGCUGCCCUCAAGCCAUAAAAACCCAAAACAUACGCAGAUAUUUAAGUUAAGAUAAUAUCGAUAUAAUAAUGAUCCACAGACCAUGCUUGUCAUUGUUUAACCUUUUAUCCAUUAUCCAUUACACUGCACGUUUCAAUAAAAUGAAUUCUUCACAUUUUCUUUCUUCAAUUGUUGUCAUCAUGUUGUUAUAGCUCUAGAAAUUACUAGUCUUUGUCUCACGCACUGCUGAGUGUUUAUUUAGUAUAGGUAUUUGAUAAAAAAAACAUCAUACAUCAUAUUUCUAUCGCUGAUUUGAGAAGGCAAUAAGUUGCAGAGAAGUACAUUAUAUCGUAUUUUGUUAACUAUCUUUACCUAUAGGAAGCACCUCUGGUCUUUCUCCCAGUAACCAAUAACACAAAAAAAUAGAAAGAUUACUGAGAUUGCCCAUGAUAGUAUGACUCGAUCGGUACACAUUUUUCCCUAAACGAAACAAAGAAAAACACAACUGAACCAUAUCAAUUCCGGAAUAAUCAAAAACCAUAACGAACAAACCAAAAACACAUUGUUCUUCUCAAUUAUCAAUUUCUCAAGCAGAGAAAAAAAUGAUCAACCUAUUACUUCACAGAGAUUGGAAGUAUAGAGGUCAGAUUACAAAGAAAAUGAAAAGAAAUGUCAUAGACUGCCCCAAAACAUUAGGAAUCAGAUUUGGUCACAGCUAACCACAGCUGUGAGGGAGAGAAAGAGAGAGAGAGAGAUGAUUGGUUGGUCACAGCUGACCAACAAAUCUGUUGGUCAGCAAAUCUGAUUCCAAAACAUUACUAUCAAUCCCAACCUUUAUGAGACAACCCUCUGACCUGUAAACCUGAUUUGUCAAAAUUCAAAGUCCCAAAUACCAUCAGACUUUGAUCAGCAAGCUCUUCGUAUCAAUUUUAUCAACUGGUGUCCUCUCUUUUCAGUUCAAGGCUUAUUCUCCAACUAUAUUAGCAGCUUCUUUUGAUACACAGAAGUCAAGAUGCAUAAAACAGAAUCCCUCUAGAUAGUAAUUUUAAAUAAGAUCAAUGACUAAUAACGUGCCAUUCUACCAAGUUGCAUAAGUAGAAUGCAGCACAUAAUGCAAAUCAAACCAUACAUGUUACAGAUGUUGUCGACAAAUGAGUUCAAUUUGACUUAACAAAGUUCUGUGGCGGAUUCAUAUCUACUUAUGUUAAAGUGUGCCAAUCGAACAAACAGAAAUAAUCAAAACAUUAGAUAUGAGAUGAAAAACCAAUUCAGUUGAAAAGCAAGGGAAAAAAAUCCAAAUACGUAACAGGCUAUUCAAGAAACACCUACAUUAAAAUUCCUUCCUCUUCAAUUUCCAGCCUUAAAUAGAUUGUUAAUCUGCUAUGUAUACAGUCUUAAGAGCAUAAUUCAGUAAACAAAUAAAUUAGCAGACACCAAAAAAACACAUAGCUCAUGACCAUUCAGCCAUAUCUAGUACAGCUUUGAAGAGAAUAUACAGAAGUGUAACAUGUACGUUGGCAAGCGAAAAUGCACCCAGUUUAUGGCAAAACAGGUAGAAAGCUGCUGACCAAAAAAAUAAAAGGUAGAAAGGUCAAUUGAACUCUAGGCCUUUAGCUUUCUAGUGACCAACAAAUAGAAAUGCUUGCGCUUAUACUCUCAAACAAUAUAGAAGACAUGAGUAACCAAGUUCUCUUGCAUUUUCACUCUGGCAAUUUAAAGCAGACCAAACAGAGCAAAUUGCCAAGAAACAUGAACAAAUUUGCUUAUCCAAAACCUUACAUAUUCAAAUGGUUAGACUUGUUUUCAAGUGCCUGCUGAGUAAAACAUUCACAACUAAUAAUUAAGAUGGGUAGGGAUUUUUUUUAUUUCCAAUGCAACCAAGCCUUUAUCUCCUUUCCUAUCACUUUGCUGUUACUAAUGGAAGAUAAAGGACAUACAUAUAUGAAAUUGCUUGAAUGGGUAAACUUCUAUAUAAUACUUGCCAUGCAGUGUUUCAAAAGGUAAAAAUGUCAAGGCAACCACUCACCUUGAAUCAUGUUCUGGAUAGAUUCAUAGCUUUCAUCUUCUUUGUAAUACUUACUUGGUAUUACAAUUAGUCAAACAACCCUUUUGACUAUUAGAAGCCAAUUCAGAAGCAAUACUUCAUGAUGGGUUUAGGGUACGACAUAUUCAUGAAUGAAAACUGAAGGAUAGAGAUAUCUUUGUGAAAUAAGGUUACUUACAGAUUUCAAUAAAGCUGGUUCAGAAAUCACGAAAACUUCAGUAAACUUGAUUGUUUAGAUACGCAACUUCAUUUACAUUCUAUAAGUUUAAAUGAUGGUCCAUAAGGCUAUGUGAGCUGUUCCAUGUGGCAAAUUAAGUAACUCAUUCAUCACUGAUCAUCCUAACUCAUUUAAAUGACAUUGAGUUCUAGAACAGAUAGUUUAAAUAUGACAAAACCUACUUGUUCACUUCCGACAUUUUGACUUAUCAAACACAGUUUAUACUGAGCUUUGUCUGAAUUGUGGCAGGUCAUUGCAACUCAGCAGCUUCUCUAACCCUCAAAUUUCAGAACUAUAUUUGUUGUUGCCUAGAUGACAGAAUUUUAUAACAAUAAACAUCACUUGAAAUUUUAAAUAUAAAUUUCAUAAAAGAAUAUUAAAAGAGGAUAUGCAGAUUAAAACUAACCCUGUUAUAAAGUUUCGCUUUUUAACUUACAGGAUUGGAACAUAUUGAGAUUUCAUACCUCACCACUCGUGCUACGGUCAACUCGUGGCCACCUCCACAGAAAAUGAGUUCCAUUUGCCAGAAUGACAUUACCUUAAUCACUGCCGUUGAGAUCUGCAACAGUAACAGGAGAAGUCAGUAUAUUUCUUUUUUCAACUUUACUGGCAAUACACUGUUAGAAAUUACGCCCUCCGUUUUUCUGAAUGUAUUAGUGACGCAAAAGCAAUUAAUAUCAACAAUUACAAAUAAGAGCAGUGAACAGAUGUGCAUAAUCAAUGAAACAUAUAUAAAUAUAUAUAUAUAUACAGGGCUUCUCUGCUACGGACGUCCGCACCGUUUUACUGUGCGGAUUUCCGUCCGUUCGCCACCGUACUGCGCCGCGCGAGGGCGCGCCUUCACCCCAGCGAACUCCAGCAGCUUCCCCGACCACUUUCUAUCCCCGGCGAGUCCGUUCUUUUCCAGUUUUCCGGCGAGAUCACCCAAAACUUCAAAUAAAGUCGAUCUCGCCGGAAAACUGGAAUUCGGCGGAGUCGCCGGGGAUGAAAAGUGGUCGGAGAAGCUGCUGGAGUCCGCUUGAGUGGAGGCGCGCCCUCGCACGGCGCUGUACGGUGGCGAACGGACGGAAAUAUGUGUUCCUGAGAAAGGUUGUAUAUAUAUGUGUGUGUGUGUGUGUAUAUAUAUAUAUAUAUAAAAAUAACUCCCUCUUAUCUGUGAUGUGGAUGAAGGGUAAGUAUGUGUUCCUAACAUUAAUCAAUACAGAAAUGAAAUCCAACCUCAAAAGCUUUUAACCGUAGUCGUUGAGAACCUUAAAUUUGAAGCCACACAGUUUUAUUAAUCACAUUGGGCUUCCAGAUCUUUGAUGUGUUGUGCUGUUCAAUUCACUUAUCUUACUUAAUAUGCUCCAUGUUUCUGUCAAGAAAGCUCAAACUUAGUACAUUAGGGAAGUCGGUGAAUUUUGAUUCUUUUUAAAGCUCUGAACUAUAGUUCAUCAAGUCCACAUUAUUUAAGUUUCAAUACAAAACCAUUCUGCAAUAUGAAACCCUUAGAUUGAACAACAUGACAUGAAGGUAAGACUAAAACUGAACCAAACCAAUUUCAAAACAAUAAAACAAUCAAAUUAUGUGGACGGGGAAUACAAAACUGGAACAUGGAUGCUACAACAGAUAAAACAGUACAUGCAAGCAAAAUGAAAAGAGCAUAACUCACGAGUUCUCAUCAAGCAUAGAAGAUAUAUCCUUCCGCACCCCAGUAUCCAAGAACAAAUAAUGUCAUUAUGACCACUUUAUUUUUGCCAAAAACUAAAAGUUACCUCCACCUGAAAACUGAAAACUUCAUUCUCUGGAAAAAAGGAGGAGGGGAGGGGGGGGGGGGGGGGGGGGGGAGCGAAACUAUCCUCUUACUCCAUCUGAUCAUCAAACAACUUAAUACACCACAAACAAAAGACUAUAAAAUGAAACUUGUUCUUAAUAAACUUCACAGAAUUUUCACAAUUGAUAUCUACCAUGUACUUUGUCUGUUACAAAUAAAUACUAACAGCUCAUGUUAUGGGUAGAUCAGUACCACCCAUUAAUUGACAUAUCUCUAACAUCAUCACCAUUGAUAGUUUGUUGUAAUUAAAACUUAAACUUUUCUCAUACUGUAACCGAAACUUCUGAACAUAGAGUCAUAAACAUAUGCAAAUGAAAGAGCAUAUCAGAAGUGACUUGGAUAGUAAGUGACUUGUGUAUUCGUACAAUAGUAUCAAAAGUGAAACAAAACUACACACCCAAUUGACCAAGGGAAUCUUUGUUCGUCUUUAGACUUUCUCAGUUCACCAGCAGUGUCUGGAUGAAGGAUUUGAUGAUGGAGCCGAUAUAAGAACCCUAAAAUCAGAGAUUUGCAAUCACCUCAAUCGAUGAAGGUGGACAUGAGAAUUCAUGAAACCAUACCUCUUCGCAACAGAAAAAAAAAUUAAAUAAAUAAAACAACGAUCAAAUCCAAAUUUGCAUAUCAUCAAAGAAUCUCGAGAAUGUUCGUCUCGAAAGCACCGAUCACUGAAGUAGUUAGCCAGCUCCAGUCCAAAUGACCAAUUGAUACCCAGAAAAGUGACUUGCAUGUGUAAUAUUGAAGUUCCCAUUCACAGUAACCGAUGCUCAAUCAAAGGCUAACCGUUAAACCCAGAAAGCUACGCUGAAGAAGAAGAAAGAGAAAAAAGAACCGAAAUCGAACCAAAGAUCCCAGCACGAAGACGAACAGAGAGAAGGCGAAACCAAGACUGAGGCAAAGAAGAAAGCGAGAGAGUAAAGAAGCAGAGUGAGACAAAGGCAAGCAGCCACGCAGCAACAACCAAACAGCUGGCAAGUGGUGGCAAAAACAUGAAUAAACGCAAAGUAGGGAGACGGCCGUAAAUUUGUGCGGUCUUUAGCUACAGUAACCCAAACACAGUAUAUAACUAGAAAUAAAACCCGCGCUUUGCCGCGGGAUUUGCUGUUGUUAUCCAACUCAAGACCACUUAUAUUCAAACUGCUGAACAUAACUAAACUAAGACGGGUCGAAAUCAAGUCUAAUAACAAAUCUGACUUUGUUAGAUUUUCUAAACCAAAAAUGGAUCAGCAAUGUAAUUCAUGCAACCUAAUGCAAAUAAUGGUUACCAACCAAUGAAUGUACAACAUAUGUAAUCUCAGCUUAAAGUUGAUAUAACAAAUUGUUCAAAAACUCAUGAUCAAGUUUAUAUCAGAUCAUGGCAUUAGAGUAGCUUUAGAGGUUAGCUUUUUCCUGAGCAUCUCAAGUUCUCAACUUCUAGAGUUUCCUGCAAGAGAAAGGCACAUGAAUGUACAGCAAAAUAAUAAUUGUUUUAAGUGUUGGGAAAAGUUUCUGUGACAGCUCUUUAUAAUGUUUAUGUGAGAUGGGUGUUAAAAUAAGCAUUAACCUCAAUUGUCUCAAAGGAAGUAGUGAUCAUGACCAUUUCUUUAAUAUGUCAGGGACAGUCUAAUUAUGUAAAUAACAUCAAAUAUGUUAGCUGUACCAAAACGCAAAAGCAAAGUAGCAAUUCAAUGGAAGAAAUUUCAACUAUGCAAUAUAUGAAUGUCCUUGUAAUCACUAAACGAUAUUCUUAACUUAGAUAAAUAGCAUCUUCUCACUCCUAAUGUCUAAGAACUCCAUGUCAGUCUCUAUUGUUUUGGUAUAAUUAUAUCACCCUUUUUCAACUGCAACAUGCUUGUAAUAAUGUUAUAUCAGUAUAACUCGGUUUCUCUGUUAAAUUGGUGUAGGGUUUGUAUGAGACAAAAUAUUGAGUAGGGUUCGUAUAUGUACCAUCCCUUUCCAUGACCUUGCUCUUACUAGUCUUGGUUAGUGUUAAUGUUAUGAUAAUUGAGGUUCACUUUUUAAACUUUUUUCCCUUUUAUUAUAGGUGUUUCCAAAUCACAUUCACAUCUAUAAAACAUACUGAUUACAUAAUUUUUAUAUGAAGAAUUGGUAACAUUUUCGACACAGAUUGACCAUCUGCAGUGCAGUGGUAAUUUUAGAUGUGAGGGGAUGAAGAGAAAGGCUAUAUCACAACAAUUUCUCUUCAGUACCAAUAAUAGAUAUCAAAAGUAAAAAAAAAUACAGAAUGAUUGUAAUGUAGAAAGGAUGUAUAUAUUGUCUGCUUGCUCUUCCAAUUUGUUUGGUUGUUGAGUAGAUGGAGUGGAAGGAACCAAUUAAAUAGAAGUUGGGUCUAUCUUCCUGAUCAUGUUGCUUAUGUUCUAAGUAGGAUUAUCUUCAUUUGUUUUGAUGAGACUUGAUGAAUAUUAGACUCUAUAUAUCUACUAUUAUAUGGAAUAUGUUUAUCUUUUCUUUGUGUAUGUUGUCACUUGGCUUCACCCUCAUUCAUUUUUUCCCUUUCCAUUACUUUAUUCUAGAGUAAUGGAAAUGGAAGAAACAAAGGAAGAUCAAAAUGGGGGAAGAAAUAAAGGAAGUUAAGGAAUAUCUAUAAAAAUUAAAUUAAUGAUAACUUUGACAACAAAGUAUUAUCACAAAAUGAAGCUAAAUAAUUUUUCAUGUCUAAACUGGUCAUUCCACUAAUAAAAGCAUAAGCCAACUUUGAGUUUACCAAACACUUUGUUACGGCUUUUGCCAUUGGCAACACUUAUAAAAAGCUAGUUUACUAAACACUCAGCUACUUUGUUUUUCAGUCACUUAUUCUCAAGAAUAAGUAAAAGCCAGUUUUUUCUUAUAAGCCCAGCUGCACCAAACGCAGCCUUCAUACACACCUUUCAUAAUGAAACAAUCAAAUAUUAGAGAUAAAGGCUUAUAACCAGCAUCAUGUGAUAAAUAUAUUAGAGAUAAAGGCUUAUAACCUCAACUCUAAUUCUUUUUCUGUUUGUAAUCUUUUUUUUGUUAAAAUAAAAAGUUCAGUAGAAGUGUUACUAUAUAUAACAAAUAUAUGGAUCAUCCGUAUGUAUAUCUAUUGAUAACCUAUAAUUCAAAGCAUACAUAGUUUGGCUGUAAUGUCGAUGCUAUUGUUUUAAAUUGUAGAUGAGUUGGUAUAUAUAGUAAAGCAUAAUUGAUGACCAACUAUUCCUGCCUUCAUAAAGCAUAAUAAGAUAAGCAAAAUCAACAAACAAAAGUAGCACCUGGGGCAAAAAUUUUGAUGCUUUAAUAAGUCAUAUAGUAAAUUUUGAUGCUUUGGCCUAUAAUCUCACAAACCCAAUUCAAAAAAGACAGAAGACUUACUUCGUUUUGAUCAAUGUCAUCAAACCCAAUCACCCAACUUGAACUCUCUAACCAGAUUUUCUGGACGAUGAAUGUAACUGAGAAAUUCAAAAAGAGACAAUCCCUCAAAGAUGUCAAAUUGAUUUUUAGUUUAAUUGGUAGUUGGGGAAGACGAAUUCACUAAUGAAAAAGUAAAAAACCAAAAUUAAAGACGAACAUGUAAACGUUGUUUCUGGAAUGAUCACUCAAUCGAUGAAGCUAGACAUCAGAACUCAUACCUCCCCGCAACAGAAAGAAGCAAGGAAACAACUAUCAGCGAUCCUCACCGAAUAACCAAAACCAAAAAGCAGAAAGGAAAACGAUCUUACACAUUCAAACCCAGCAGAGAGGAUUGGAUAUAAUUCGGAAACGAUAGAUCAACAACCAAAACAAAAUUGAUAGCCUUCCGCCUUCCUUCUGCUGCUCUCUUUUCUCUCUCACUUUCUCUAGGACCUUCUUUUCUCUCUCUGUUGCACUCUUCGCUCUCUUUCUUCUUCUCUCUUCUUUUCUCUCUCACUUUCUAUAUGGUCUUCUUUUCUCCAGGACCUUCCAUUGUCUUCUGGUCUGGGUUUCUAGAGACUGAGAGAAGUCGAACGUGACAACAGGAGCAGAAACGGAAUUACCCAUACCCAAAUCAAGGGCAAAAGACGAAAAUGCCCUAUUCAUAAACUGUUCCAGUGAACAGUACGACGAAGAAUAGAUAUGUAGUAAAUUACACGACAUGACAUGGGCUUUUGCCUUGUCUAUUGUCUAUGGUGUCCUCAAAUUAAUGGCCUGCCCCAACUUCUAUAGAUUCUUAUGUUUAGCCCAAGACUAUAGAAGACGAAGUUUUUCUUUGAAGAUCAUCGUAUUCUGUACCCGAAGGCCCAACUGCUAGUUGAAUUGGUAUUAUAUAGUUGAUUGGUGUUAUUUUGAUGAGAUUAUUUGAAAAUAAUACUAAUAAAUACAUCAAUAAUAUACAUCAAUAAUAUUGACGUCAGGUCGGAUGGUCCAUCAGUCCUUGAUGUGGAGUCAUGAAACCAAUAACUUAUGCAUGCGAGCUAAUAAUCAGUCGGUUGGAAUAUCAGAAGGUCCUGAUCAUGCUAUACAACAAUAUUAUUAUGACUAGCUAGUGAGUGUGAAAUGGACUUUGUUUUUGAUCGAUUUUCUCCAUGCUGUGUCUCCAAUUAUAUGAGAAGAUGGAUGCCAUCUUUGAUGCCUUCGGUUCCCUCUAUGAUCCAAUCCACCAGUGAGGACCGACCACAUUUGACAUAAAAUAAUGCCUUCACAAGAAAAUCGAUAUAUGUAAUAUGGAAUCAAUCACACUGAUAUGCAUUCUGAUGGAUUCUGUUAAUCAAGUAUUUGUCAAGAAACAUAAUUUGAGACAUGCUAGGUACCAUGAGUUGAUAAAAGAAUUAUAAUACCACAUAUACUUUUUUAAACUCGACAUACAAUGCACAUAAUUUUGUACUAAAGACUGAGGAUGUGCUCUCCAUAGAAAUAUAUCGAUUAUUUAAGGAGUUCUAGUAAUUUUAGAGGACAAUAAUUAUCACAUAUCUUAAUUAUAUGAGCAUCAAAGUUAAUGAUGUCGACUUUUAAAGUUUUAAUUCAUUGCUAGAAGACACAUACAAGUGGUCGAGUUUGUAAGGACUUUGGUGUGGAACCCCCAUAUUUAGGUUCGAAUCUCGCCGAUGUUAAUUGGAGUUAUAUCCCAAUUUAUUCUUAAUGAUCAGGAGAAAUUAAAUGUUUUGACAACAUAACCCCUCGGUGCGGAUUAGUCUGUAGACCCAGAAAACCUUUACAUAGACAAGUCACUAAGCAGUACGACAAGUACCUUAUGCUGCACAAAAACUCUAUUUUAUGACGUUUCACGUAUCAUAUUGGAAAACUGACGUUUCUAAUUGAGUUUUUCUUCCCUUAUUAACAUCAGUCAUGGGACUGAGCCUUUCUAAUUGAGUUGGGUUCCAACUUCCAUACUACUUUUUUCUUGUUCCUACCAAGGGCGUAGCUAAAAGGGGGUCAGAAGGGUCAUUUGACAUUUCUCAGUGUUUGAAAAUUAAGAUCUGAUAGGUCCAUGUGUUAGAAAAAUCAUUCUAAUUUGACCCCUAUGUCCUCUCUUUUUUUGGUCUGAAGUUGACCUCUUACGUCAAAAAAACAAAAGAGCAAAGAUAAAGACUAGUUUAAACAUUGACCUAAUUAUCCACAAUGUAUAAUUUACAUCAACUGCGCAAGACUCUAGUUGAUCGAAACAAUAUAUUUUAUUAACUUUUUUUUAAUUUUCUCCUCGUAUUCUCUGUACGCCGUUCUAUUCUUGUUUUGUUUUUUAAUUAUCCACAGUGAUGCCACAAUCCCAAACGGACGUUCACGUCAAAUCACAACAGUCAUAGUAUCAUACGACGUGUCGCAAGCACACUUGAGCGGUCAGCUAUCCCCUCCUCUUUACCUCACAUUACCCUUCUCUCCAACCAUACAAUAACCACCGUCCGAUCCAACAUAACCAUCUGCAGCAUAAUCGUCCCUGUGUGGGCCCCACAUCCGAAGCUGUCAGAUCGCCGUAGGACCCAGGCACGGGUCUGUCUUAAAUGGACGGCCCAUAAUCUCCCGGCCCACGUUUGUUCGAGUUGGCGGGCGAGUCCCGUUGCUUUCUCCGCCACCCACUUUAAUUAUUGCUACUUUUUUUACUCUUUACAGUUCAACUCCAGUAAACAAAUUAAAAUAACAGAGUUCCGAAGCUUCCUCAUCUCGACACGUGUACCUUUCCUCCGUCGGUUGCCUUAUCGUCCACUACUACCCUACUACUGGACUCACUCGACUAGUAGAGACUAGCGUCAAUUAUAUUAAACCCCACAGAUCUGCUUCUUCUUCCGUCCUUCACUUCACUCGAGACAUCUAAAGUAACCUUCAGAUCUCCCAAUUCCCAAAUCUCAAUUUCCAGAAAUUCCCUAAAUUGAUAGCUAAAUUCCCAUACCCAUCUUGAUGUAGGUUUCAAUUUCACAGAGAAUGUAGAUUGAAGCUUCAACAAAGAGAUGGAUCCGGGGGUGUGGUACGAUACGAAGCCUGCAAAGGUCUCAAAAAGGGUUUGGUUAGUAAUUAACAAAUCAAUGGGACUCCUCGUGGGUGGGAAUCACACCUCCUCCAGGUUUUGCACUCGCUAAUCUUUUCGCUUAUUCUCAGCUUGGCUUUUUUACACUCCCUGUUUUGAAAAUUAUUUUCCAGAAACAAUAUUCUCAGUUUCAAUCUCUGCGAAGAGAUUAUUCGAUACCGAAUCGAUCGGUUUUGCUUGGUUUGUUCUUUCCGAAUUGUGUGAAAGAAAAGAGCUCAAAUGAAGCUCGUGAAACUCCAGAUCCUUCAUGGAUCUCUAGCCCGGCGCGUGUUUUUCCGCGCUUUCUUUAUCGCCGCGGCUAUGUCUAUUAUUCCGUUGGUUCACAUUUUAUCCGGGUCUUACCUGAAAAUGUUUAACUAUGUGAGCACUAUUGACUGUGCAUCCGAAUAUGGCGGGGACAAUGUCAACUUGGACCCGGGCAAGUUCAUGUUUCAGACCCGGUUUCUGAAUCCCAUUUGGGGCGCUUUCGAUGCCGAGAAGUGCAAGCAAGAUGUGAACUUGACUGUAACGGUGGUCAGAGAGCUAAUGGGCAAGCAGCUUUUGAAUGGCGAUAAGGCUCUCUGUGUUGGUGAAGGAUCAGCCUCGGCCGUGAUGGCUUUGCAAGAUUUGGGGUUUCCUAAUGCCCGUGGUGUUUAUGAGCACAGAUUCUUCUCCCUCAAGCACAAACAGUUUGUGUAUGAGAUUGACUAUGAGGACAAGUCUUUUGACUUCGUGUUCUGUAGGGAUCUAGACAAGGUUUCUGUCCCUGCUCUGCUUGUGCUCGAGAUUGAGCGUGUUCUUAGCCCAGGUGGAAUUGGGGCUAUGCUUGUUGGUAGCAGUGGUUUGGCUCCGAAUAGCCUGAUACGGUCUGCUACCCCAAUUUCUUCAUUGUUGAAGAGUUCCAGUAUCGUGCACGUUAAUUAUAUCAGCAAUUUCACACUGGUUGUGUUCAGGAAGAGUUACGAAAAUGCUGGUCUAUUUGAGCAGUAUCGCCUUCCGGCGGACUGCCAAUCCCUCACGAACAAUAGACCUUUCAUUGAGAAAAUGGAGCCUCUUGUGAUGGAGAAGUCUUUGGAGGAUGGAGGAAUGGUUACUUAUCUGCCUAAUGUUAUUGAUGUUUCCUCAAAAAAGCGGUUGGUCUAUAUCGAUAUUGGGGCAGCAGAGCAUCUGAAAUCAAAUGUCACAAACUGGUUCCUGCCUUCUUAUCCGAUUACACACAAAGCUUUCCAUGUUUAUUUUGUUGACCACAACACUACUGUGCUAUUGUCCUAUGUCAAGAAGCCGGGAAUCACCUUUGUUUAUCAUCCAGGGCUGGCUGGAAUCAAGGACAAGAGCAGUGUUAACAUUGAAGGAGAAGCAGAUCCAUAUGUUGCAGAUGAAGGAUUUGAUUUUCUUGAUUGGUUCAAAGAAACAGUGCAGCAUGCCGAGUUUGUGGUGCUUAAGAUGAAUGCAGGCAAUGUUGAAUUGAAGUUCCUGAGGGAUCUAUUUGAGAGUGGAGCCAUAUGCUUUGUCGACGAGCUCUUUCUUCACUGCUCUGGCAACAUAGACGGGGAAGGUCCAAUGCCAAUAGAUUGUAUGGACAUCUUCAAGAGCCUCCGAAGCAGUGGUGUGUAUGUGCAUCAGUGGUGGGGGGAAGACAACCCCGUCGAAGUUCUGUGAUGGUGACGUGUUUGAUCGAUCAUCUCCAUGAUGUGAUGGUGUUGUUUAACUAGUAAGUUAUUAUUGCUUUUAUGGUUGGGGCAAUAAUUAUUAAGCUAAAUAAGCAACCACUGUUGUGUUUUGUGUAGUGUUUGGUGUUUAAGGAUGUCUUAUAGGAUGAAAAAAAAUCCGAGACUCCCACCAUUGUGUUGUUGUAGCUUUGUUGUGGUUGGUUGGUUGGCCUAUUUGAGCUUUCCAGCUUAACAAUAAGUUAUUAAUCGUUUGAUGUGUACUUGUUCUUUAUAUGGUUUUGCCUUCAAUUAUUGUUUGCUUCAUUUAGAAUUGGCGUGGACUGACAGAGUGACUGGACUCCACCUUCAAAAAACUUCAUUUUUUUCUUUGUUGGUCUGCUUCAAAAAACUUCAUACUGGUAUGAAACCUAUGCCUGUGUGGUUCUUAUUCUAAUAUUCCACCUUGAAUAAGGAAAAAGGAUGCCUAAUGACCCUGCUUUACAACUCACACUCACUUACUCAGUCCCCUUAAUUAAUUGUGUUCCCCGUACGCAACCACGAUAUAGAGUUUUCACUUGAAAGGUUGUAUGGUUGAAUGGCUCCAUAAUCUACGUAAGACUUGGUUCAUUUAUGAUGUAGCAUUCUGCUCGGGUAAUGAAGGCUACUACUCGCAUGCAUACCAUCGUUUUCGUGUCUGCCCUCUCUUUCAUAGCACAGUAAAGGUUUGCAGUGUAUCAUUAGAUUUGCCUGAAAAAAAAAAAUUAUUCCAGCUACUUCCCGUAUACAUAUGGCUUCUUCUCCAACUGAAUAUAACUAUGGAAAAAAUUCAGUUUACUACUCUAAAUUUUAGGUCUAAAAUCAGUUUGAUAUCUCAUCUUAUUUUUUAAUCAGUUUCAUAAAAUGACAUCAAUCUCGACCAAAAUGACUAAAAUAGCCCUGAUUAAUCUUUUUUCCCUCUCUCUCUCCUUGCCUCCAAAUCCACCACAUGGCCGGCACCGGUAUCCACCCCUACCACCAGCAAUGGGCCCCGGCGGCAGCCCCUCCUCCUCCCCCGGCCGUCGCCGCUGCCAUUCUUAACUCUGAGAGGGUAAACAUCACUUGACAGCAACAAGAAGCUGUGUAACUAUCUUGUGUAACUAUCUUCCCUUCACAGCAACAAGAAGCUGUGUAAAGGCUGCCAGAAGUCGGCAAGCUCUCCAUAACUCCAUUCCCUCAAAUGACUGGAAUGAAAAGCCCAAACAUAAAGCAUUUACUUCCCUACUGACCUGUGGAACUAGAAAACUGAGGAUAACGAGAAACUAGACCUAAUUACAGAACCCAUAAAACGGAAAAAUGGCUCUAAUACUUGCUAGUCACUACUCUUUCCCCAGAUACCUAAAUUUCGAUUUCAUCUGAGAGGCGAAACCUGAAAUUGAUGCCACAAAUAGCACAUGAUUAUCUGUAUUGAUCUUCUCCAUAAGUACUUUCAGCAGCACUGCAGCAGAAACCCUGUGACAAGCAAACAAGCCCAACUGUGGACGGCGUAUAUUUAAGACUAGUAACUAAAUUCAUACAUCAUUCCAUGUCUAUGGAGCUGGUACAACACAGGAUGUUCUCUGUGCAAAUUUCAUACAGCAUACCUUUUUUAACUCACUGAAAGCCGAUAGUAGCAAAAGAAUUGCAGACAAGAACCAAGGGAAAAAGCAAAAAGGAUUAUUUACAGAAUGAUAGUGGCGGAGCUCAUGCUCUCAUUCCUCUGGACCAUUGUUGACCUUUAUCUCCAAAAGCCUCUCAACUGGUUGUCGGCAAAUCGGGCAUCGGUUUGUCUGGUAUCUCAAAACCUUGGCACACCCACUGCACAUACACUGCAUCAAGAAUAGAAAUUCAUUGAAAAAUUAGUCGAGAAGAAUUUCCCCUGCUAACUACAAUUCAGGUUGAGAAAUGUCAUUGCCUUGCAGAAUUGGAUGGAAGCAAGGAAAGGUAAAACUAGCCUUUGGAUCUAGGAUUCUUAAAUAAAAAAAAGUGCUUUACUUUUAUUUAAUCACUGCACUAAUUCAAGAUGCUGCACUUUUAAUUAGGAAAGGUAAGGUACUGUAUACCUUCAGAUACUUACAACUCUACAAGACACCCUACUUCAACCCUGAAUAAAAGCUUUCUAUUAAGCCAAACUUUGAACAGAAAGGAGGAAGAUGUAAUUACCAUGUGCCGGCAUGGAAGAACAGUUGUGUCCCGUGGUUCAGACAGGCAAAUGACACAUUCUUUUCCUGGGUCGUUACUGUCCAAGUCAUCUUCGACUGAAUUACCAAUGCCAUAUAUCUCCUGUAGUUCAUACCUCAUCCCACUCACCCAAAGAAUCUGCUUGACAACCCUCACCUGGAAUUCACCUUUCUCCCUCUCAAAUACAGCCUGAGUUAUCUGAGAGUUUGUUGCUACAGAUACAGAGUUUCCCUCUGAUCCAUCAUGCUCGGGUGGGGAUGCCUCUGCCUUCACUGCUAGAGGAUAUACAUCCAAGCCUGCUACUUUCAUUAACUCUGUCUCAUCAAACAUUGAGAAGUUAAUUCCAGUUCCAGGGGGUUGUUUGAACUUCUGGCCCAAACCUUGUUGAAAAUAUACCGUCAAAGGUGGAAGGAGGCUAAACUUCAUCGGUGUCAGGUUACAGCCCUCGCCUUCUUUUGCAAAGAAAAUGAUGGUGAUGCUGUUCCAAAGAGCCACAUUAGAAAACUUGAUGAUCAGAUCAUGUCAUAAGAUUAAGAAAAUGAAAGGCACAUACACAAGAUUUUAGUACACAAAGUCACCUUCACCAGUUUGCACGUAAAUUAAAUAUCAAGACCAUGGCAAAAAGUUAAAAGAUGUACUACUAUAUGUCCUUCGACAAUUUCACAAGGAAACAAAUUAACAUUGUUGCUACUCAUAACAGUCAGAAAUACAAUCACAUGUCAAAAAACAAUAAUUUGAAUACUUUGAAGCAAACAUGAAAAUGGCAUUGGAGUUUAAUUUUACGCAUAAAAUAUCUCUCCUGGUGCACCUUAAUCAAGGAUAAUGCAGUAUACCAGGAACUUGAUUACUAACUUCCACAAAAAUAUAUAAUCUGAACCCAACUAUGAUCAACUUUCUAGUAUCGCAUCUCUACCAAAACCAAAUAGAGUCUAAAGCCUCGAUAUCAUGAUCUUAAAUAGCCCAAAUUCAUAUUGUUCCAGCAAACUCCUCCAGGGAUCACAUUUCUCUAGUUAGAAAGAGUUCAGCAGAUCUUAGGUACUAGAAAUUACUAUUGCAAAAGACGAAAAACUAGUUGUCAGCAUCACACUUCCCUCAUUGCCAUAGUCAAGGCAAUUCUGCCUUUCACUCAAAGAAGGUCCCAAGUCUAUCAAUAUGAAUCUUCCCCAACAAUAAGAUCCUUAUAUGACAUGUUACUAAAUAGUGCACAAUUCCACACCGACACUUCAUUCCAUACUGAUUGUGAGAUCACAUUGUUUUGACUUUUACCUAUCUCAUAAUCUAUAUUCACAAUGACAAGAUCAUAGAAUGCCUUUAAGUCACUUCAAAGUUCAGCUCGAAAUAAGCAUGGUAUACCAACUAGCUCUAUCCUGUUCAAAUACCACAAGAUCCAAAUUUUCACUUCAAAACUCUGCCAGAACAUUCAUUUUGAUGCUAAACUUCACCUAUCUUCCUAGGAAGUCAAUCCCUCAUUCCCAUCCCUAAUUGGCUUUAUAGAGAAAGCCACACAGCUCCAUCAGCCAUGAUCAUAAUGACCUCCUCCAGAAUGGCAAUGACCUAUCAAACUCCAAUGAACAUUCUAUAACCAGUAACCAAACAACCCCAUUCAUCACAAACUAAUCCAAUUCUACCAACUUAAGCUAUUCCCACAUCAGCAAACAACAAACCAACCCAACCAAGCAUAUUUAAUAAACAGAAUCCAAAACCAAAAACAUUCAAGACUAAAGCUCUGAUCUUUCUGUACCUCCCAGCAACAGUGGCAUCAAAAGUGAAAGACAACAGAAACCACCCGGGGUUCUCCUCAUCGGGCUCAACCCUCAAAGACUCCUUCUUCAAAUUCACAUCGUUCCUUAUCGUCACCGCCUUCUGGUGCUCCACGUACGGCGUCGGCACCUGCAUCACCGGCCCGCACCGGUACCUCCCGCCGCCCCAGUUCGGGUCCAUCUGUGGAUGCGGCACCCGGUGGUGGUGAUCGUACGGCGCCGGCAGCGGCGCCGCCGGGUAGUAACUCGGGUACUGGAAAUACCCUCCCGGGUUCGGGUACUGCGCCGGGUUUUGGUUCGGGUACUGAGCCGGGUACGGCGUCGCGGCAGCGAAGACGUAGCGGUUGGCGGAGAUUUCGGGCUGUGGUGGGGCCGGUGGGGGCGGAGCAGGGUGGCUCUGGCGGUGUCUCCGGCGAGAGGAGUUGGCUCUACUACUGCCCAUGUUUCCCAUGUUGGGAAAGUUUGGAUUUUUCAGAAUCUGGAAAGAGAAACAGAAGCAGAUUGAAAAGCCCAGAAAUUGUGUCAGGGAGUUUCAGAAUGGUGUGAGGGAAGUGGAAAAGGUAAAGAGAAAAGGUCGGAACAGGACUUGACCAUAAAAAAUAAAAAAAAUAGGUAGGAAGAGGAAGGGAGGAAGUGACAAAUUUCCAAAAGCAAUAAUGGAGACAGAUAUAGAAGAGAGGAAGGACUCUUGUUUUUAUAGAUUAUGGAUUGUCAGUGGGGGAUUUAGUGGGAUCGCGUAAAGCUCCACCCAGAACACUUGUUCUAUCCUGUUCUGUCGACUCAUUACAUUCCUGGAUGGGGAAAAGAUGAAAUGAGAGGAGUUGAUGCUCAACAGCUAAAGGGAAAGGAGUAGGAGUAGUGGCUAGCUAGCUGAAACCCUUUUCUCUUUUCAUGUGUGCAUGGUGAUUAGGUUAUGCACAUGAAUAAUGAUCAGCAACCGAUAUGGACUGUGUUGUACUUGUACGUUUGCGUAGGCAGGGCCGGUCCGUCGUGUUUAGAGGCCUUGUGCGAGAUAUAAAAUGUGGCCCUUUAGGUGCUCCUGAUAAAAGAGAAACAAUACACCAAAACUAGAAGCAUGGUGUCACAAAUAGGCAUGUAUAUAAGCAGAUCAAACAGCAAACAAAAAAGAUAGAAGACCAAAAACAAAUUUUCUGUAAAAAUAUAUUAGAUUGACUUCAAAAGCAAAUGCUCUGUAAAAGCAUAUUAGGUUACCUUUCAAAAUCGUUGAUCUUAAAUAUAUUGUUGGUUGAAUGAUUGAAAUUUGGGGCGGAAUUGGACGCCAAAACCCUAAUUCUUGUGCAGUGCCGCCGGCCGUGGAGAUUGGAAUCGCCGAGUUGAGGGUUACGAAAGUGGGGGACUGAGGGUUACGAAAGUGAUCAUGAGGAAAUUCACCCAAAUGAAGGAGGGGGGGGGGGGGGGGGGGGGGAGGGAUAAUAAGGAAAUUUAACCCUUAAAAAAAAACACACUGGGUAAAAAAUUCAAUUUACUCAGGAAAUUAAAAUGUGUGUGUGGAGAUUCAAACUUGGGUCUCCAAAACACAAAUCCAAAGAAAAAACCAACCAAACUACAACUCCAAUUGGUAAUUGGCUACAUCUUUCUACAUAAUAUAGGUGUACAAUUUUUUUUUUAAACCCUUCCAAAAUUGGAGGCCCUGUGCAACCGCACACUUGGCACAGCCCAUGGGCCGGCACUGUGCGUAGGUAUAACGUACUUGUUGCAGUAUUGUAUUCUGAGAAUGUUUUGUAGGGUUGGAGUUUUGUGUGUGCGUAAUAUGUUUGGAAUCGCAUGCUACAACGAUGAUUUGUUUGGAAGUUGAGGAUGGAUUCGCAUUGGAGGUGAGUUCUAGAAUGUACACAGUUCAUAAUCAUUGUGUACUUUGGGAGGAGUACGUGUCAAGCUGCGAUUGAUGCGUGCAAAUCAACUCCCCGUCAGGCUCCGUUGUCCUCGUUAACGCGUGAGCUGUGUGACCUCUACUAAUAUUUUUAUCCGCAAUCAAAUUGAAUCGAGGUGGGUAACUUGAUUGAUGAGGUUAUUUUCUUGUUUGUUGGGAACAGUAGCAAGAUCUUGAAUUGGGUAAUACCCGAUCUUGUAUUAUUGAGGAAAAAACAGAAGUAAUUUGGGGAGAGAUAGAAUCGUCUGGAAUCGAAUUUGGGGAAAAUUUUCUGUUUUGGCUUUUGCUCGAGUUUGAGGGAUUUUUAAGUUGUUUUUGUGCUGAAUUUGAAGUUUAUGUUGCUAAUUAUCGGUUAUGGUAAUUGGGUUGGUGCUUAAUUGAGGUAUUAGACUCUAGGGUUUUUGAUGAGUUCUGCGACUCUAGGUAGGUCUCCCUAGAACAACAACCAGAAGAACCUAAAAAGUUAGGCAUGUUAGGCAGGUCUCCUUGCAACUCUAGGUAGGUCUCCGUGUGACUCUAGGCACCACGACAUGUUAGGCAUGCCUAACUUAUUCAUGACACUGAAACCACCAUACAUAGAUAGGUCUCCCUGGAACAACAACCAGAAGAACCUAAAAAGUCCAUCAGACCCCAAAGAACUGAAUCAGCCCAAAGUGACCCAUAAUCAACACCUAGGCCCAAAGCCUAACACAACCUUUGCAGCCCUAACUUUAAACUAGACCCAAAACCCAAACUAGCCAUCAUCAACACAUUGUCACCACCAGCUAGCGGCGGCGCUGACCGCGACCUUAAGGCCUGGAUCAUCAGUGUAAAGCCCAACUGGAGAAACACCCACAUCGGCAAGUCCAUAAGCCCAUCCUCGAUGCGUCUUUAAUUCGUAUCCACCGGCAUAACCACCACUCCAAUCCAACCACUGAUCCGGCCCUGAACUAAAGUCCAUAGAUUUUGACGUCAUCAGUUAACUCACGAGGCCUCUAUACCAUCUCUAUAGCUUUUAACCCGAGCCAACCCCGAGUCUCAGCCACCAUUGUUGCACCUUGAGAAUCGUUCAAGCCAAAAUAAUGAGAACAAUUCCAUAGUGGAUCAAUCAUCCCCUCUGCGGCCACAUAUUAAGGAGAAGAAGAGAGGGAGAGCCGCAACAAUCCCGAUGCCUGACGUCUUGACAUCACAAAGUAUGUUGCCGCCACCAUCCCAACACCCACCAUCGCCGUCAAAAAGAUGAGGGUUAGGGUAAGGGGAGAGAGAGAGGAGACAACCCAUUCCAAAAUUCUGAAUAACUUGAAUAACAUUGAGAGUAUCUCCAACAGCUUUUUAAAAAUUUCUCUAAAAUAGAAAAAUAAAAGUCAAACUCUAUGAAGAAAAAAAAAAUCAGUUGGAGAUUUCAUCAUUUAUUACAACAAUAAAAUAUUAUAUAUCCUUAUUAAUUAUAACAAUAAAAUAGUUUACAUUACUUAAUAAAAUAUUCUAUAUUCUUCUCAUUGGAGCACACGAAAAAUUGAUACCGAUGCUAAUUUGAGAAAUUUGAAAUAAAGAUUUAUCAAGUUCUUGAUUAAAGGAACCCUUAAUUUAAUAUUUUAAUGAUAAAAUUGUUAAAAAAAACUCUUUAAAUAAAAUUAAAUCUCAUCAAACAGCUAAUAAAAUAACAUAACAAAUUUGAAAAUUAUACUAAGAUGGUACAUGAUAUAGUCAUAUACUAAGAUUGUGUGUCUAAGCAUGACACACCAGUGGGCAACGCAACACUUCCCAUUAUAAUAAAUCAAUAUCCAUUAUGUAUAAGUACCAUUAUGCCAGUUCUGAGUUCAUUCAUGGCUUCAUGCUAUGGAAUGAUGUCGCUACUGUGUAAACAACCGAUCACAUUAUCCAGUCCAUUCCCCAAUAAUAUACGUGCACUAUCUGCUUCUGCGGUUAUGCUAAUUCCAUUCCACUUUGGAGCUAUAAUCUUAUUGAAUCAUGUAAAAAGAGAGAAAUCAUCCUUAUUCUAGCAAAGAAAGAGAGGAAUCAAGUUGGAUUGUGUAACUAUAUAUGACCGAGUAAUGUUAGGUGAACUAUCUUUUAAGAAACUAUCUAGAGUCCAUCUUAGAUGGCAGCUGACAUGGCACAACCACAUUAUCUUACCAUGCUCUUUUAGAGAGGAUCCUUAAGUUGAGAACUUGGUGAAGACUUUUCGGCUUAUCUCACCUUUCGAUCUUAUAUCCAUAUCUUGACCGUUCAGUUUAUAGAUAUUUAUGAGUAUAUCAUUUCUCUAAAUUUUCAGCUAUAUCGAAAAUUGUUAAGACAUUCAUAAGUGUGAUUUAUCAAUUAUGAACUUGUACGAUUCAUAUUUGACAGAUUUGGUUCGUCCAUUAAUUUGAUCUAGUUUGUUAUUUUAACGAACACUAAUUUGGCUGAAAAUUUGUAGAAAUGAUCUACUCAUAUAAACCUAAACUGAACGGAUGAGAUGUCAAAAUGUGAUCGAAAAAUGAGUUUUUUAAACCAUAAACUGAAAAGUAAUCAACUAAUUCUAAACUUAAGAGUCCUUAUUAUAAGGGCUUCCUUUUUUAUGACCUUUAUACUUGAAAAUCAUCAUUGCCAAGUUACUCCUUUUUUUAGGCGGUUAAACGAACACAAAUUAACUUACAAAUAACCAUACCAAAUCGAAUUAACCAAACGAACACUUGAACCCAGAUCGAAUUAACCAUACCAAACAUCAACAAGUCACGAGGUAAGAACUUGCCAGGCAUAAGCUAACCAAAAGAAAUAGAUGUAAUGAACAAGUCAAGAGGCAUUACUGAUGUCAUUUGCUAGCUAGUAACUUUGAUAUCGGUCUCUACUUGAUCAUGUAAUGAAUGUUGCUUCAACAAAGGAGGCGGACGAAAAUGUUACACAAACUAAUUUGUUUUCCACUUGUAAUUAGCCAAAGAUAUAUAGCUAAUCGAUCCAAAUGUUUCAUCCAUAUUGACUCUGACAAAUACGUACUAGAUAAUUAACUAGGAAUGCAACGCAGACACAAGUAUAUCAAAACGAUUACUAGAUAACAAAAUGAUAUUAGUUAAGUAAUUAAGACUUUAAGCAUGUUGGAUUAAUAGUACUUAAUAAACCAAAAUGUGGAAUCAUAUACUUGGGGUUUUCUCCCCCACUUGUCCAAUUGUGUCCUGAUGUCCCUAUAUACGAACCAUUGAACCCCAUAGGAUAGGAGGAAUCUUAAAAAUGUUCAUUGAUGCUCCAAUAACGCCAUAUAAUUUGAUAUUAUCAUGAUGAUUGAAGAAAGUUGUCAAUACAUCAUUAUUUGAUAUAUAUAUAUAUAUAUAUAUAUGACAAUUGUUUAAGCAUAUAUAAUCUUUGUAGGAUCUUUAAAGUGUUCAUCCGUUGAAAUUUCUUAGUUUUUAAACCUCGAAUUAUAUGAACCUACACAUCCGAACUUACUGAGAAGAACUUUGCAGAUAAGAGAGCAACCUAUUGAGACCUAAUGAAUUUUCAUAAAAAUUAAUGGAGCUGGUUUAGGUGUUGUUAAAAGGAAGUUCAUGCUAGCUACCAAAAUUCAUAUGCUCAUGAAAACAGUGUGUAAAGAGUAAACAAACGAAAACCGAAAAACACCUUAUCGAUGCUCCAGAUCCACUGCAGUAUAAAAACUUGUGUUCAAACUAGUAUGUAUAUGUGCGUUCAGACUUUCUCUUAUUUACAUACUUUUGACAAUGAAAUUCAUAAUCUUAAUCGUUCGGAAGUUGCAUAUACUAAAAGCUAGAGAGAAAGCUUAGAGAAGAAGAUAAGGCUGCAAAUGAAUGAUCUAGAUUAACAGAAGAAUCUGAGGUUACAAGCUUAUAUACAGCUGAAAGAUAAGCACGUGAUAAACACGUGUAGAGCCAACACUGCUCAGAAUAAGCUAAUUAACUAAACAGACUAAUUGUAAUUAGCUUAAGUAAGCACAAACUAGUAACUAAUUAAAGCUUAUAGUCUAACACCCUUCCUCAACUUGAUGGGAGGGAAGAAGCAUCAAGUUGCUGCACAGAUGAGCAUGUUGAGGAUAACAAAGGCCCUUUGUAAAGAGAUCAGCAAGUUGAUUUUUUGAAGUAACAAAUUGAAGCUGUAGAUGACCUGCCUUAACUUGAUUUCUUGUGAAAUGCACAUCAACCUCAAUGUGCUUAAGCUUUGAAUGAAACACAGGAUUUGUAGCCAAGGCCAGAGCUGAAAUAUUAUCACAAAACAGUGUUGGAAUCUCUGUAGGCUUAAGCUGAAGAUCAUUAAGCAAAUGAAUCAACCAAAGGACCUCAGAAGUGGUAUCAGCCAUACUCCUAUACUCAGCUUCAGUAGAGGACCUUGAAACAGCAGUUUGCUUCUUAGAACACCAAGAUAUGGGAGAAUCAAUGAGCAAUAUAACAAAGCCUGUAGUAGAUUUCCUGUCAUUGGGAUCUCCUGCCCAGUCAGCAUCACAAUAGGCAUGUAAAAGAAGAGAAAAAUCAGUUGUAGCUUUAGGCAUGACACCCUUCCUGAAAAAGAUCCCCUGUGAUACAGUGCCCUUGACAUAGCUAAUAAUUCUUCUAGCAGCCUGAAAAUGCAUAUCAGUAGGGCAAUGAAGAAAUUGACACACUGAAUUUGUAGCAUAGGCAAUAUCAGGUCUGGUGAAGGUAAGAUACUGCAAACACCCAACUAGACUUCUGAAAAGAGUAACAUCAUGACUUUGCAAAGGCUCACCAUCAUUUAUUAGUAAUUUCAGUCCAGACUUACAUGGAGUAGAGUGAGAAAAGCAGUCAUCCAUACCAGACUUAUGCACAAGAUCUUUUGCAUAUUUUUGCUGUGAAACAAACAGCCCAUCUGAUCUGUACUCAAUCUCAAGACCAAGAAAGAAGUGCAAUUUGCCGAAGUCCUUCAUAUCAAACUCUUUUUGCAAAGCAGACUUGACAUCCUGAAUGAGAGAUUCACAUGAUCCAGUAAUAAUAAUGUCAUCCACAUAGAGUAAAAGGAAAACAUGACCAAUCUGAGAGUGCAAAACAAACAAGCUCGGAUCUGAAUAAGAAGCUGUAAAACCAAGUGAAGGAAGAAAAUUGGUGAAUCUUUCAUUCCAUGCACGAGGAGCCUGCUUUAAACCAUAGAGAGAUUUGUUAAGUUUGCAGACAAAAUUUGGUGCAUGUUGGUUCACAUAACCACCAGGCUGUGUCAUAUAAACUUCUUCAGAUAAUAAUCCAUGCAAGAAGGCAUUUUUUACAUCAAGUUGAUGAAGUUUCCAAGAGUAAUAUGCAGCAAGACACAAAAUAAGCCUUACUGUUGUGUGCCUAACAACAGGAGAGAAAGUUUCCUCAUAAUCCACCCCAUAUUCUUGGCUAAAACCUUUAGCAACCAACCUAGCCUUAUGUCUUGCAAUACUGCCAUUUGCAUUUCUUUUAACCUUAAACAACCAUUUGCAAGAGACUAGAUUUUUACCAUCUGGAAGAGGAACAAGAGUCCAGGUUUUUUGGUUCAUAAGAGCACUGUACUCCUCAUCCAUUGCUGCCUUCCAUUCUGGAAUUUUGAGAGCAUCUUUAUAGUUUGCAGGUUCAGUAGCACUAGGAUCAGAAGAAAUAUGAUUAAGAAGGGAAAUAAAACACUUUUUCUUAGAAAUACCCCUCUUGGCACGAGUUAGCAUGACAUGAUCAUUCUGACAUGAAGGUGCCAUACCUUCAACUGGAUGCAGAAUAUGAGCAUCUAAUACAGUACUAGAAAGAGAAGAUUUAGCACUGUUAAGAACAACUGAAAUGUCACCAUGACCAGGAGUGGAUGCAAGAGAAAUGACCCCAUCAGCAUCAUUAAAAAGAACACAAGUGUUGCUAUUGGAUGAGAAAAUAUCACAAGGGUUUGUAGAUGGAGAUACAUGAAGAACAGGAUCAUUGUCAACAGAGUCGCAUGCAGCGCUAACAUGUGGAGGCUCAUUACAAGUAGGAGAAUCACCAGUUGUAUCAGCAUCUGAAAUAAUAGCAUGAACAUGAGUUGAAUCAGUAGGAUGCUGACCUGAAGAGUUGGACUGAGUUGAAGUAGGUGCAGGAAUUGGCAUUGUUGGGGACUGAGUUGAAGUUGAGCAUGGUGUAACAACAGUAAGAGGAUGCAAAUAUGUAGGCUGAAGACUUGAAGUUGAAGCUGUAACCUUGCUCAUUGCAUUUUUAUCUUUACUCACAGCAUAAGGAAAGGUAGUUUCAUCAAAGAAUACAUGUCUGGAAAUGACAUAUUUUCUGAGAGUAGGACUGUAGCAUACAAAACCUUUAUAUCCGGCAGCAAAGCCAACAAACACACACCUAACAGUCUUAGGUUUAAGCUUGUUAGAUCUAUAGGGUGUCAUUAGAGGAUAGCAAGCACAACCAAACACCCUUAGCAUAUCAAUUGAAGGAAGCUUCUGAUAUAAACACUCAUAAGGAGAUUUCAGCUGAAUUGUUUUAGAUGGCAUUCUGUUAAUUAGAAAAGUGGCAGUAGCACAAGCAUGAAACCAAAACUGAUCUGGAAGUGAAGCUUGCUGCAACAUGGUAACUGCAGUUUCCCUGAUAUGCCUAUUCUUCCUCUCUGAAACACCAUUUUGCUCUGGUGUGUAAGGACAAGAGAUCUGAUGAAUGAUUCCAUUCUGAGAAACAAAUUCCUUAAACUUUGCAUUGACAUAUUCACCACCACCAUCACUUCUUAGCACUUUAACAAUAGAAUGAAAUUGAGUAGACACCAUGGCACACAAAGACUUGAAGUAAGACAGUACUUCACUUUUGUAUUUCAUAGGGAAAAUCCAAGUGAACUUGGUACAAUUAUCGAUGAACAAAACAAAGUAUCUAAAACCAUCAAUGGAAACAUAAGGCGAAGGCCCCCAUACAUCAGAAUGAACUAAAUCAAAAGGAGCUGCACUGCUAGAGGUAGAAAUGGGAAAGGGAAGUUUAUGAAACUUGCCUAAAAGACAUGGCUCACACACAUAUGUGUCUAUAUCAGAAACUGAUCCUAGCUUGCUCUUCUGAAGCAUCAGUUUGACAACAUCAUUUGUGGGAUGACCAAAACGUUUAUGCCAUAACGAUUGUUGAACUUUCUGUCCAAUGAAAGCAGUGCAGUUCUGAGGGCUAGAGACACCUUUAUUCACACAAACUGAAGAAGAAAUUGCUGAAGUAGAACUGUUGGACUGAGAAAAAGACUUGUCUUUGUUGUUGUUGAUCAAUGGAAGCUGAAAUGGAAGAGGAUAUAGACCAUGCUCACUCAGUCCCUUGUACACAACCUUGCCCUGCACCUUAUCCUGUAUCACACACAUAAACUCGUCAAACCAGACCAAACAGUUGUUUUGCUUACACAACUGGUAGAUAGAGAGUAAAUUAGCAGCAAUAUCAGGGAUGACUAAAACAUCAUCAACUUUCAAAGACCCCAAUUUUGUAUCACCAGAAUGAGUAAUGUGCAAUUUUUCACCAUUACCAAUCUGAACACCAUCAGUUGUAGGGUAAGAAGUGAUAUUAUUCAGAUGCUCCAUAUUGUUGGUCAUAUGAUUUGUGGCUCCAGUAUCAGCAAAGCCAAAAUUGAGGAGCCAUGGUGGCAGAAGCUAGCAUUGCAGUGGCAGCAUUGCCUUGCUCAGUUUGUCUGUCUGGGAAGCCAAUGAUGAAGAAACAGCCAUCAGCAGUAUGACCAUAUUGAUUACAAUACUGACAGGCACCUUGAGGAGUUGCACUGAAGUUGUUGCCGGAGUUGUUUUGAACAGUAGGAAGAGACCUACAAGUCUUUGCAGAAUGUCCAGGUAUGUUACACCACUGACAAAUGAUAGAUGGACCUGCAUUACCACCAUUGUUUCUAAAACCACGUCCUCCAUUACGUGAGCCUCGUCCUCUACCACCAUUGUUAAAACGAGGAUUACCAGAACCAUAAGAACCUCUACCUCCUGUGUUUGCACCAGCAUAAAAUCUAGUAGGACCAGAGGGACUAUUGAACAUGUUAUAAGAAGGAUUAGGAGAGUAUCCAAAAGGAACAUGAGUAAAUGGCAUAUAUGGGUGAGGAGUGGGAUAGGAAUAUGAAGGCAUUGAUUGAGUAUUUGAAAAUCUUGGUGGAUAUGAAGGUGUAGGAAGGAUAGGAGGAGUGGAAGUAAAAGAUGAAGUAGCAAAAACAGGUGGAAUAGGUGGAGUAGGCAGUAUAGGAGUGAGUGAUGCAGCAUUAGAGGUAGUAAUAGGAGUAAGAGAUGCAGCAGUAGCGCUUGUAGAAGCUGAUGAAGUAAUAGAACUUGAGGAACUCUGAUCAGAAGCAGUGGCAACUUUGCAAUUAGCAAGCAUGGCAGUAAGAAGAGUUUGAAUGCUGUGAGACUCAUUGCUAAUAUCCAAUUCAGCAGACUUCAACAGAGUCUUAAGCUGAUGAAGUGGCGAGCAAGUAAACUGAGAUCGAAUGACAGUCUUAAUUGCAGCAUACUCAUUAGGCAAACCAUUAAGCACUGUAAUCACAAUAUCAUCAUCAUCAACUAUCACACCAACAGUUUCAAGAGCAUCCUUAGCAGCCUUGAUUUUAUCCAAAUAGGUCUCUAUAUCAUCAGAACCUUUCUUAAUGUUCUGAAGAUUGGAUUUCAGUUGCAGGAUGUUUUGCUUAUUAGAAUCUGCAAACUUAGUCUUAAGUCUACUCCAAAGCUCCUGUGCAGAUUUACUACCAGUAGCACAGUUUGUGGCAACAGGACCCAAAGUUUGGCCAAGCAUAUUCAUAAUAUUUCUAUCCUGAGUUUUCCAUUUCACAUACUCAGGAGAAAGAGAAGUGGUGCCAUCAGAGGAUGUAACUAACUGUGGAGGACUAGGGAUUGAGCCAUCAAUAAAACCAAAUAGAUGUAGACUAUCAAGAAACAUCUCCAUUAUGUAAAGCCAUGCCGGAUAGGUAGACUCAUCCAACAUUAUAUUAGGAAGCAAAACAGUAGUAUGAGUAGAGAUAUGAGAUGAAGCAUCCAUGACUAUAGCACUGAAACGACAAGCUAGGGUUUGAUAAAGAAAAACGGAAAACUCAAAGGCUAUUGACACGAGAAAAUGAAAGAAUGAAAGAUCACAAGAUAUUGAAUCACAGCGAAUAGCUAGGGUUUAACUGCUCCAAAUCAGAUCUAGAACGAUUUAGACAAAAUUGAUGAAUAAAACUAACAUCAAUAGAAUCAGAAUGAAAAUCCAAAGCUUCGAUACAUCAUAAUCGACUCAAACAGCAAGGAAUCAAAUAUGCUUCGUCAACAAUUUGCUAUUCGAAAGAUGAAAAAGAGCUUAGGGAAGACACUUAGCUGCUGAGGAGAGAGAGAGCGCAGACGAGAAGAAAGAAGAAGAAGAACCGCUGCAAUGGCGUCGAAGCUUCCCUGGAUCAAAACCAAGGCUCUGGUACCAUAAAAGCUAGAGAGAAAGCUUAGAGAAGAAGAUAAGGCUGCAAAUGAAUGAUCUAGAUUAACAGAAGAAUCUGAGGUUACAAGCUUAUAUACAGCUGAAAGAUAAGCACGUGAUAAACACGUGUAGAGCCAACACUGCUCAGAAUAAGCUAAUUAACUAAACAGACUAAUUGUAAUUGGCUUAAGUAAGCACAAACUAGUAACUAAUUAAAGCUUAUAGUCUAACGUAUACCAAUAAAGAUCAUCUCUGCAAAAAAUCAAUGUAAAAAAAGAUCGAUUGCUCAGCCGAAUAUAUCAAACAAAUGAACGUCUGAUCAUGAGACUGCUAACUUUCACCAGAACUGUCAAUUUGUUUAACUAAUGCAAUCGGCUGAGCAAACUAAUUUUGUUUACAUUGAUUUUUUGCAUAGGUGAUCUUUAUUGGUAUAUGCAACUUCUAAAUGGUUAAGAUUAUGAAUUUCAUUACCAAAAGUAUGUAAAUAAGAGAGAGUCCGGAUGCACAUGUACAUACUAGUCCGAACGCAAGUUUUCCAUUGCAAAACACUAUUACCUAACUUAAUUUCUUUUGCAACUGCCUUAUACUUGUAAAGGAAUAGUUUGAAUCUAGCUCAUUGACAUUAAACCUGGCUCCAUCUCUUCAAAGCUAGACUUGAUGCUUCUUUCAAUUAUAGAAGAAAGAUGGCAUAUCUCAUGUCACUCGAUCAACUAGCUACCUCACAAUUUAACCACCAAAUAUAUCAAUCAACAGAUCAUCUUUAUCGACCAUAUAAUCGAUCAACACUGGCGUCGACCAAAAUAUAAUUCAGUUAGUGAAUUGCUUUCCCUAGUGUUAUAUUCUUGGAAAUUAUCCUACAUUCCAAUAAUAGUAGUUAACUUCCUUAAUGGAGUUUAGUUCGAGCCUCCUCAAUUGUACGAUAUCGUAGAACAUAUUCGUCAUGAAUUUGGGGUAAAAGAACUGAAGAAGACUCUCUGGUUUUACAAUAAUUGAUCACGUAAAUGAUAGGUGAAGUUAGAAAUUAAGAUCAAAGACGGAUCAGAAUGACCCCAACCUUCUGGCAUACAAGAGGAUAAAUCAAAGUCCUCUACAAUUAAAAUUUCAAUUAAUUUUUAUGACUGGAAUAAUGGUUUAUCUCGACUUUGGGGUAGAACCCUAGCUAGCUAAAAGGGUCUCUGCUGUCUACAAGUAUUUGAUACGCUUGGGCGGCUUGGCAAUCCAUUUUCUACUAGCAUUGUACGUGGUUACGUGGACUUAGUUAAUUACCACACAUUAAUUAAUGUAAUUUGUUGCCGAACUUAGCUAAUCAGUUUCUUUCAGUUGAAUAUGCGGAACCCUCGCGCGCUUUCUGCAGACGAAGAGAAAAUCAAACUUCUCUACACCAACUUCGAUUCGUUGUAGUUUUGAUUAUAUAAUCAGUUCAGGAAUCUAUAUUAGACCAUAAUCUGAAAAUAUGAGAAACUAUUCCAUUCCAUAGCGUAAACUAAGCGCACUGUAGGCGUGUACGACUUGUUCCCAAACAAACAUAUAUAGAGAGAGAGAUAAACGUAUGUAGAUAUUCUAUUGAUGGGAAAUUAAUUAAGAAGUUUCUAUUAUCUGUGAGACUGCUGACACCUUCUAGUCCUCCUUUCAAACUUUGAUUAAUUCACUAAUUCAACUGUGUCUACAGAAACCUAGCUCACCGGGGCAAACCAUGCAAGUAUUCAUCGUCAUCGAUAGUGCUCUAUCUUUUCUAUAACUUGUACAAUGACACUUUUCAAUAUGCAAGUAUUAUCAGAAAUGGUCAUCAAAGAUACAUAAGCGGACAUGUAUAUCAAGUAAACUAGCUUAAUAUUGAGGUAUAUAUACUAAUUCCACGUCAAGCCAAACUAGUCUACUAAUGUAUGGAAUCGGUCAAUCUCCAAUCUGCAUCGCAUCUAGUCUCUUAAUCAACGUAUAUCUUAAACAAGAUAUGUAAGUGAUUCACAAUGCUCGUUAUGAACAUGAUCACUUCAUUACAGGUUUUGUGAAACUUGAUACACAAAUGUCUUAGAUUAACGAGAACACUAUAAUCAUAAUUUCCAUAGAUUCUUCAAUGAUAUGUCCCCAAGGUUGUUUGGUAACUGAAAUCCCCAUCAUACGAUAAAAUGCCAUACGUUGCUUGUGUGAAAAUCAAUCAAGUUUGAAAGAGCGCUAAGGUGUGAAUAGACAAAAUGUGAUCAUGUCUUUGAUUUGUUGAACAAAUAUUGUUUAGGACAAACCUUCAAUGAAGUUACCCUAAAGAUGCCGGUAAGUGUCAUAAUCUCUGUCAAUAUCUGAAGAAACACUAGUAAGCAGUCACCCAUGCACGAUAGAAUGGCCAGACAUACCAUGAAUAAUAUUCAAGCUUUGUCUCGUUUAGACCUUCCAAAAGUCCAAAUGUGAGCAAAUUGAUCCAAAAUGGGUCUCCAAACACUUGUCGUUUCAAUCUUGCACGCUUUCACUUUUCGCAUCUUUGUCUUUACUUCUAGCCGUGUUCAUGUUAAUUAGCAACUCACUUGAGAGAAAUGUACGUGCAAUGCAGCAAUCGAAUUUUUUACAUGGAUGGUAGACUAGUAAAUGUAGUGUUACACGGUCAAUGAUCAUUGAUACUGUAAUUUAGACCAGUACUUGUAAAUCAGUAAACUAAUUUCAAGCAGUGAAACUAAUAUUGCAUGAAUCAAGUUUACCGCCACCAAGAGUACGUACGUACGUCUGCCAAUAAUAUGCUUUGCUAGGAGUUUGAUUCAUUCCCUGUCCUAUAGUUCAUGACGUACCAGAAAUUUUGCUUAUAAAAGGCCGGCAAAUUCAACCAAUUUUCUUCACCAAAGUUUGAUAAGAGGCUGACUGACCAAGCAGUCUUGCAGAGACUACUCUUGCAGCAAGGAAUAUAAAAAUCAAAAUGGAAAAUCUCCAAACUAGUUCAAACUUGGAAAUGGAAAGACUAGCUAGCUGCAGCCCAUCCCAAUGAAGUCAAAAGCCGCGGGCAAUAAUAUAAUGCACCUCUUCAUUUCAAUUUUUUCCCCAAAGCUUCUUCUAUCUUGGGUUUCUCUCUAAAAUCCUAUUCCUCUUGGUUACCCCAACUUUUGAAGAUUUCAAUUUCCAAUCACACAACUUAGUACAUGAAGUUCCCAAUUCCCUGCACAAAUUGCUUCCACUCCUCACCUGGAGAAGCCCCUCAAAGAUUGAGGCAAGGUUAGUUGUAGUAAGAAUGUUUGGUGUGCUUAGUUUAUGUUCCUGUCAGGAAUGAUGUUCUUCAUGAUUUUGUCUCUGUUUCUAAGUUAUUUUAUUUAGUUUUUAAUGUAUUUUUCUGUACCCAACCAAACCCAGAUGGUCAAGAUCAGGAAAAUUUCAGAAUUUUCUCUUGCAAGGAGUUGAAAUCUGCCACUAAUGGCUUCCACGCCUCGAACAAGCUUGGAGAAGGUGGCUUUGGCUCAGUUUUUAAGGUGUUUUCUCUUCUCCUGCAACAUAGAAAUCCUGCAUAUAGUGAAUAUGGGGGUUAAUUUUUGGGUUAAAUUUUACAGGGUAAGCUUAAGGAUGGUACUUUUGUGGCUAUAAAGGUGCUCUCCAUCGAACUCGAAUCGAUGCGAGGAGAGAGGGAGUUCAUAGCUGAAUUGGCUGCACUUUCUGUAAUCAGUCAUGAAAAUCUUGUUAAAUUGCGAGGGUGUUGUGUUGAUGGUGUUGCCAGAUAUUUGGUCUAUGAUUACAUGAUAAACAAUAGUCUUGCACACACUUUAUUAGGUAAUUCUAUGUUUCAAUUCUAUCAUUUUGGGUCUUAAUUAAUGAUCCUCAUUGUGAAGAAUCAAACUUUUAAUAGGAAAAUUGGGUUGUCAUAUAUUGCUGAUAUUAGGUGGAGAGCAAAACAGGAUGAAAUUUAGUUGGGAUUUAAGGAGGAGCGUUGCAUUAGGAAUAGCUCGUGGACUUGCCUAUCUGCAUUUCGAGGUUGAACCUCAUAUUCUGCACCGAGACAUUAAGGCGAGUAACAUACUUCUUGAUGAAAACUUCAUGCCAAAGGUUGGAGAUUUUGGCUUAUCGAAGCUGUUAAGAGAAAACCAUUCUCAUAUCAGUACUCGGGUUGCUGGGACAAUGUAAGUUUGAAUCACUACUUCUGCCUCUAUACAUUAUCGUUCUGCCUUUGGAUUCUUGAUGUUCCAUGCUAAUGGGGUUUCUCAAAAUGAUCCAAAAGGGGUUAUCUUGCUCCAGAAUAUGCUAUUAGCGGACGCUUGACGCGGAAAUCAGAUGUUUACAGCUUUGGAGUUCUGCUGUUGGAGAUUGUCAGCGGCCGUGCAAUUGUGGAUUUUGAUAUGCAACUUGGGGAGCAAUUUCUGGUUCAGAAGGUAAAUAGACAAGAGCACUUGAUUAUAUACUACUGGCUUGGUCAUGCUUUCAUCGCAUAAUAGAAUUUAAGCCACAUUGUGAACUUGCAGGCAUGGGAAUCAUACAAGGCCGACAACCUCCUGCAGCUAGUUGAUCCUACACUUCAUAUGAACUUCCCCAAAGAUGAAGCUCUACGAUUCUUAAAAGUAGGCCUUCUUUGUGUGCAAGAAAUGGCAAGACUCCGGCCACGAAUGACAAGGACUGUUGAGAUGUUGGCGGGUGAGAUUGAAAUGAAAGAUUAUCAGAUUUCACAACCUGGACUUGUUUCUGAUUUUACAAACAUCAAAAUGGAUCAGCAUCAGUCAGGUGAUCAGAGUACUUUCUCCAGGGGCUCCGCAGCUAGUACCAUUCAAACACGUUUUUCAUCUGAGGAGUUCAAGUUAUCCUCGUAAAGAUCAUGUGUGGUUUUUUCUUUUAUGAAGCUGUCCCAGGAAGAUCAUUUCAGCCAACAGAUAAGGUUGGUUCUUUUUUUGGACAUCUUAGUAUAUAAGAUCAUCCAACUCCAAGUGGAGAACUCAGAGAUAAUCUAACUCAACACCACCUUUUUUCUUUUGACUUUGCAUUGUUUGAUUAAUUGUGAAAUGUGGAGGCGAUUCACUUUCUUGCUGUUGUUGAUAGUAUUUUGCAAAAUACAAGUGUACAAGUUACCUCCACAGAACUAAUGCCUAUGUUUCUGCAACUGUUUCUGUUAUUACGCAUCCCAAAGUUCAUAAACUGCAGCACAGACACUAGUAAAUGGUGAACCAGGCUGUGAUAUGAGCCUAAAUAACAAAAGAGUAAAUAUAAAAAGAAGAAAAGAAGAUGAAAUUAAAGGGCAUCGUACCCGACUAUUUCCUAGUCUACCAGUCAACUAGCUACUACUAGCAUAAAGAAACCUCAGCUUAACAAACCCAGUUCACGUGGACAUGAGAGCGUAAGAGAGAAGCUGAAAUGAGAAAGAACGGAUCAUUUUGGGCCUACCAUUAGUUUGCAUUCUCUUGUGCUCAUAAAGCUAAGGUUGUUUAUCUGUUCCAUUGAGUUCUUGAUUUCCAUUUCUCUUAAGGGACUGCAAGACACAUAUUUGGUAGGAAGUAGUUUUCCUAUCUCUAAAUUGGCAAUAGAAGUCAACUUAAAACACUUCUUUGACAAGUAAUCUAUGGAUUCAUUUGUAAACAUAGCAAUAUAAAGUUCACAGCCAUCAAAGAAGUAAAAUCAAAAUGUUACUGUCAUAGUCGAGCAUUCAGUUGAAAUGAAAGCAUUAUAUCCCUAAAACAAAGUAGAUGAUAAGAAAUGUGAGGUCUUCACAAAGAAUGUGUUAGUCUAUCAGGAUAAUGUGCAUUGAAAUAAUUUUCUCAAAUUCAAGUAGAGACUGCUCUCCCAUGCAGUACAUGAGAAGCCAAAAUAUGAGAUGGACUUUUAUGUGGAGUGGUACAAAAAAUAAUUGCUCCCUUCACUUUGUGAGGAUUAAGGGAAAUAUAAUGAGAAACAAAGAAAAAAGAGUAAAGGAGUAACCAACGUAAUUUACAAGAAGCUCAUAAGAGAUGUACAGUUGGGGAAGAACAUAACUUACUGACCAAUGUUUGAUGUAUAUCCGGCGAACUGAUUCAGCAAUUACAAGGUCAAACCAUCUUUCACAAUGUGCUCCAACCAAGAUGCAAUAUCAGACAUGGUAGGACGCUCGUUAGGCUUUUCUUUAACAGCUAGUCCUGCUAUAUCAGCAAGUUUAAGCAAAGGUUCAACAUUUCUCGGAAGAGCUACAUAACGAUCAAUGAUGGCAGCUGCUUUGUUCUGUUUUAUUAAAGGCAAUGCCCACUCAACUAUACUUGGAGGAUCGUAAUCUCUGUCAUAAGCUUUCCGUCCACUGAGAAUCUCUAGCAGUACUCUCCCGAAGUUGUAAACAUCAGUCUCCAAAUCCCCACCAAGAUCCUUGUCAUUAGAAGUAAGGAGUCCGAAAUCUGCAAUUCUUGCACUCCAUUCAGAAUCCAAAAGAAUGUUUGAGGUCUUGACAUCACGGUGGACAAUGGGAGGCACGAAUUCCUUGUGAAGGUACUCGAGCCCCUUUGCAGCCUGCAUUGCAAUUUUUAAACGAAAGCCCCAGUUUAGAGGAGAAAGACCACCAUGGAGAUGGUCAUAAAGUGUACCAUGGGGCAUGUACUCGUAUACAAGCAGCCUCUCUCCCAUCUCAGAGCAGUAACCUAACAAGUUCACAAUAUUACAGUGUCGGAUUUGGCAAAGAACUUCUAGUUCCAUUUCAAAGUCCCUACUGUUUGUGUGAAUUAUAGUGGCAGCAUUUGCUCUCUUGACUGCAACUUGCUGCCCUUCUGCUAGCACAGCUUUGUAAACAAAGCCGUAGCUUCCCCUACCAAGCUCAUUAAACUCCUUGAACCCGUUGGUUGCAUCUUUUAGUUCCGAUAGUCUGAACACUUGAGCCAGCCCAGGACAUGGAACAACAGAUAGAGGAGCUUCUGAAUCUUCAUUAUUGUCUGCUUCCAACUCUGGCUUGCCAAUGCAAGACUUGAACUGCUUCUUGGUCCCUUCUUCCUUACGAGAAGUGGUCAAACGGGGCAGAAAGCACCAACUGAUUAACACCAACAAGAAACCCAAAGCACAAGACCCGAAUAUGAUCACCAAUCUCCGAAUAUGAUGCCAAAGCUUCCUCUUCAUCUCUGGAGGUGCUUGAAGCCCACAAAUAUCCCAGCAAGUGCUAUUUUGGCAAAGAGAGCAAGCUGUGCACACCCUAUCAGCAUGUUCAGUACAUGAACUCGACAAGAAGUAUCCUUCAGAACAAUUCGACCCACAAGGUGAACAAAUCGUUAGAUCUGUUCUAACACACAAGCUUGUCAAAUCCACCUCAUUAAGAACACUAGCAUUGAAAGCAAACUUCCCCACACCACAAGAACCAGCACUACAAAGACCCGGACUACACAACUCCAAUGGAGGAUCAUACUCGGGUUUCUGCGAGGAAGUUGCAUUAGAAGCCCAACAAUCCAACACCAGAUCAUCCUCCCUAAUCCCACAAGUAGUGAAAUCAGACGAAGCAAUUGCCACAAACCCUGGGCCUUUAGGAACCAAAGAAGAGUUGAAGAUCCCCCAACACUCAACUCCAUGGUUAUCUUCUCUAAUCCCACAAAAAUGGCGAGCCCCAGCGGCCAGCGCCACGUAGUGGGUAUCAUUAGGAUGACCAGCUAACAAAUCAGCAUCACCCCAACAUUGAACCUGACCAGUCACCUCUGAAAUUCCACACAGUGAAUCCUUCCCUGAAGCCAAAGCUGUGAAAUUGUCUAGCACACCAGAGACCCCUAAAUUAGCAGAGUUGGGUCCCCAGCAAACAAGCCCUCCUUCUCUAAUCCCACCACAGCUAAACCCUUCACCAGAAACAACCCUUUUGAAAACAAGAUUGCUGAUUGACUGGUCAUAAAACAGAGUACUCUGUUUUGAACUCAGAGUACUAUUCCCAGUUUCAUAAAUCUCCCAACAAUCCACUGUACCCAAUUCAUGAUCGGAAUAAUAAGAGCCUCUGAUGGCACAGACGUGGCUUUUCCCUGCGGCAAUAUGAGAAUAAGCGUUGGUCUUGAAAGUGGGUGGUACGAGAUCUAUACCUGGGGCAAUGGAGCUCCAACAAUACGCCUGAGAAGUAUUGGAUAAAAUGCCGCAGAGAAAGCCUUCACCGCCGGAGAGCGCAGCCAUCGCUGGAAUGUUGCUGAAAGACGCCGAAGUAGGCAAAGAAGCCGAGGAAGGUGUCGACGCCGAGCUGUUCUUGCCCCAACAGACCACUUCCUGCUUGCCGCUAGCAUCUAUGGCGCAGAAGAAGCCACUUUCACCAAAGGAAGCCGAGAUUGGCCCCAUUGAUCCAAACCCAGAUGCAGUUUUGAAGAAGAGAAGUAGAAGAAGAACAGAGAGCAGUGUAAACUGAGAGAACCAAGAAAUGGUGUGGUGGGUUUGCAUGGUUUGGUUGGGAUUGGAUCAGUGAUGGCAUGGAGUGGUGUAAAGGUGUGGCUUUUGCAUGGUGGGAUUGGUGCUGGUUUUGCUGAAGUUGAAGAGGUGUGAGAGUGAGGAUGGUGACGAUGAAACAACGUGGGUGUCGCAGCCAUUUUUACCGUUUUGGGUGGACCGUUAAGGACUCUCUCUGCAGCAAAGUAGUUACUGCUCAUCAACUGGGUUGUAUAUUUUAAUGUUAAUAAUGUCUGGUUCGUUUUGUUUACUGCAAGCUUUGAUCGGAUUCGAUUUGGAGGUGCUGCUGUUCACCGUGUUAUAGCGUUAAACGAGGAUUACAGUCCGCCACAUGGUUUCUACAAGUGGGGAGGUUCAGCUCGGUUCAGCUCGGCUGGAGGGAGAGAGAGAGAGAGGAGGAAGUGUUUGACUAUUGGAACUCCAUUGACUUGUAUAAUUGAACUGUUUGUUAAUGUGCUUAUGUCUUGAUUAUUUGAAGCAUAUGUGAUUCUUCAUAGUUGUCAUGUUUGUGUUCGUUUUUAGAUUUAUGAUAGUGUUUUGUAUCAAAUUUGUGUAAACAAUGUCUUGAUGUGUUUCUGUUGUAUAUGAAUCGGUAAUGUUUGUGUUCAUUUCUAAAUCAUGUUAUUUUUACAAAACUAAAAUAAUCUAAAGUUACGUAAACUUUUAUUAUAAUUGUCAUAUUUAUAUCAGAUAUACAUGAAAUUUAUGGUUUGAGGACUAACAAGUUGAUAUGAAUUAUAUGAGGUGACGAAAAUUAUAAUAUAGUAUUGUCUUUGUACCAGAUAAGUGUCAGCAACACAAAUUCAAGACUACAAUGAUCAUAUUAGAUACGAUACGCGUUGAUAACAUUUUAGAAUCUAAAUGCACCAGAGUGAGACAAUCCACUCUUCAUUUUUUUCUUGUAAUGUAACAUUAAUUUACAUGCUUGAGAUAUAAUCUACUCAUCAAUAACCAAUACAGAUCUAAUUCCACACUAUAGGAGCUUUUAUUAUGGAACUUAAGUUGACUUAAUUAAAGAGACAAUUUGAUAUUGCUUCACUAUCAAUAGCUAAACACAUUGCACAAAACCGCAGAAUCUUGUUCUAUUUGCUGUGUUUUGUAAGAGUCCAAUUCAUUAACGUGCUCCACUAGUACCCUAUGAUAACUUUGUGUAUGAAUGAUGAAUCUAUUGUUAAAGCUCUUCCGUACCUAAACAUUAGAACCGUGCAGGACAAGCGUGACAUUAAAAGAACUUCUAAAUCAUAUAUGCAGAUAAAAAUGGAGGAUCCAAAUGAGAGCACUUUCAUAACUUGUACCAAUGAGCAAGAGAUAGAAGCGGGUUUUUCAUGCAAAAGAUAUUUGAUUGGUGCAAAGGCAAAAAAAAAAAACACUAGAUCAUUAUAGUCAGAAAGUUGGUUUUGGUGUGGCAUGAAUGUACGAUAGCACUAUUGCUGCAAUAUCAUCACAUUUUAAUUUCAGUACUACUAGCUUUCAUGGAUUUGGACAACCCAAAUUCCAAAAUAAAAAUGCUAAUAUUAUUUCCAUCAAUCUUAUAGAAUGGAACUUUCAUCUUGUUAUAUUUGUUAAAAUCCGUAGUUACUCAUUUAUGGAAAAAGAAAAUAAAGGAUUUUCAAAACUUGAUUUACAUAGUUAUGAAAAAGAAAAAGCUCUUGGAUCCGUAUGCAUUAUCAUUUGAUUUGUCACGCAUUCUAUCACAGAAGUGACAAAUAUUGGGGUAUGGAGUUUUAUAAAUUAUAACUCCACCUCUAUGACCUCUUUUUAUUGGUUGGCCGCCACAAACACUAAACCCCUCUUCUUCUUUUUUUGAAAGAAACUAGAAAAGGCUUCAGUUUACCCAUGCAUGAUCGUUACUGGUUCAUGAGAUUGUUCUAGAAGAGACUCUAAAAUUAACAUAUUAUGUAAUCGUUUCAAGUCACUAUAAGUAUACUUUACUCGAAAAUGACUGCUUACCGCUUUAUAUUCAGUGGUGUAUAACCAAUAUGCAUGUGUUAAUAUGAUUAGUCCAUUUAGGCUGAUAUUCUUAAAAAAUCCCAUUAAGUUACUAGGGUUAGAUAAUGUCUUCCCUUACAACCCAUAUAUAACCAGUACGUUAAGAUAUAAGUCGGAUAAAUUUACUUACUUAAAUUGACAUCAUUAACACGACACACAUGAUAAGGGUGAAUUUGGUGGUUACAGUUAGAUUUUAUGGGCGAACAAAGUGACGUUUCUGAUUUCCAAUAAUGUCACCAUCGUAACGGUGUCAAUUAACUUACUUAACACAAGACACAAGUGGAUAAAACCUAAAUUUGCAUCCAUUCUCACCCAACUUUUUAUAGGUUCUCGGCAACCAAAUAAUUGCACGUUUCUUCUAGUUAUGACAUUCAACGAUCAUACAUAUUUACUAUUUAGAGAUGGAAAUUACAGUCUCAAUUAGCAACAUAUGAGAUAGCGAUUAAACCUACUACCUAAGGCUAACCACACCCAAGUAUAAUGGUUUUCAUUUUUCAAUAACAAUGCAGUGAAAGCACAUCCCUUAUUGAUCUUCAAUAGCAAAAGAGUCACCCCAACCAUCCGAAUUCGAGUAAAACACGAUUACCAUUUACGGCCCUAGUCAUUUUAACCUUUGAUGUUCAAACUUAGACAAACAAGUUUUCAAACCGUAAGCUUGUGUGCAUUUGCUGCAAAUGUCCUAGAAAUCCUAAACCGGGAUCUCAUAUCACGUGGUUGCUAGGUCACACUUGUGACUUGUCCGUCCUCAAUUUGGAUUUCUCAACCCUAAAUGACUCUGGUCAAAAUGACCUCCUUCUUCAUCAACAUGGUCCUCCAAAUAAGCUUUACCACCAGUCAAAACCCUAACCCCUAAUACCCUGUAGCAUCUGUCUCACUCCCUAAUGCUACCAAAACUCAUCUGGUUGGUUACACAUGAUAGAUAAUGUUGAGGGGUCUUCUUAAAGAUCUUCUGGUCCAUCCCAAAAUCCAAUUCAGUGUAUUCAAAUGGUUCAAGUGUAUAGAAGUCUAUGAUGGAAUGCAAUCAUGUUCAAUUUGCUAUAGUUCCUGUCCUUGAAGUUAGGUCACUCUCGAGUCUCAUGACCCUUUUUGUCACAAUCCUCAGGCAGCAAGAUCCAGACUAGAGAAUCCAAGAGGAUCGAGGGUUAGAUCAUUUUCGAUUCUUUUGUUUUGAUCGGAUUUUAAAUUUCGUUUCUACUAGACUACUACUACCGAUCUAACUUCGCUCAGUUAGUAAUACAAGAAUCGGAAUUAAAAUCUUAACCAAAUCACACCUACUCGAUGAUUUGAUUUUCAGAAAUUGAAGGGCAUGGAGAGGAUGAUGGGGUGCCUUGGUUGUGAACAUGAAAAGGGGACCCAGAUGUUUGUAUCACACACAUCUUUCCCAUGUGGUCUGCCGUGGAUGGAAGAUGUACCUGCACCUUAUCUUGGAUUUUCUUUGUUUGCACAGUUUGCACAAUCUUAAUGUUGGAUUAAAAUAGUGUAUGAUCUAUGUGGAUUGUUGUUUUCUAUAGUAAUGUGCCUUAACUCAAAGCCAAAGCCUUCAGAUUAGAUUAACAGGAUCAGAGAUGUGCUUCUUAUUGCAGUACCAAGGAGACGAAGGUGACCAUAUUCCCAGCACUGACUAGUUUCUCUACUUUCGAAGGAAGAUCAGAGCCCCUUUUCUUCACAUUCCCAAGAGAAUACAGCUUCAUUUGAUAUAAGAAAAUUCGAAUGGGGGGUAUUGUUCUACUUAUGAGUGAAUCCAGCUUGGUCAUUUUUGCGAUGGAUUCCCCUCAUGCUUAGGAAAGAAUGAGAAACUAGCUAUUUUGCUGAACUAGCUCCAAUGUUUUUGCGUAGAUAACUGCAGCCAGCAUUUCACUUCACCCUAUUUAACGAUUUGUAUGUAUGAGUCACGAGCUUAGAGAUCAGAGUACUUUUGGCUCUUGAAGUUUGGAGGAUAGGUUUGUUACCUCAUCCUAAAACUGAGAUUCACAGCACUUCACCACUUCUUUUUUUUUAUCAAAUGGGUUGCAUUCAUACGGAAGAAGUUACAAACGAUAUGAAUAAUACAAAACAGAGCCACUAAUUGAACUCUUAUAACAAACAUCAGACUAAAGGACCCGACCCUAACUUCUUACUAGAGCUAAAUCUCUUGUACACCAUGAGGCUAAGAAAAUGGUCAUCAAAACCAGAAGAGUCAACCGACAUAUCGCCAACGAAAUGGCUUCUAUCUCUUGAAGAAAUAAGAACAUGAGUCAACUUCUUCAAGAACAUGAGUCAACUCCGCCACCUAAGUAGUGAACACUCGUGAUAAAGAACGGGUGAAAACCAUCAUCACUCAUCAAUGGUGUUUGUAAAGAGCCAAUCAAGUAGAACGACCACAAAGGAUCAAAAGAGCUAAACACAAAAACAAAACAAAAGAUAAAAACAAAACACACAGAAACAUAAUGAAGUGCAGCAGCCCAGCCUUGACCACCGAGCCCAAAUCUCAACAUAGGCCCAGAAAUCUGUAGCCUACCCAAAACCAGACCCGGUCCAUGGCCUAGAUUCGCUUCACCUGCCUGCUUCCGUCGACCCACCACUCCUCCAUCAACACCUCUGCCAUCUUGCCCCACUCAGAUCGACGAGGCCGCCACCAUCAAGUCUGCGGCCAAAGCUUCCAAACUCGGUUGCACCUCCCUGAGAUAACUCGCCGUAACCCAACCAGAGACACGAUAUGACCUCAGAUCACCUAUUGAUCUCUGAUGCAUCCACGAGAAACUUAGACAGACCCGAUCUGAACAGAAGGAAACCGGAUCGGGUACUACAGACGCCGGAACAACCACGAAAAUCCCAUGCCGGAACGGAUCUGAACCCUUCCCCUACCACCAAAGUUGGAUCUACAACUUCCAAUCCCACCUCUUCCUUCCUUCCAACUCGCCCACCAACCCAGACAAAAACAGGAGAAGAAGACGAGCAAAAUUGGCGCGCACUCCAGCUAAACGUUUCCUCUCCCGGGCUAAGACAUUGUGGCAAGGCCGCCGACAAUGUUCAGCCGGGAAAGAGAGGCUUUCUCUCUUACUAGGGUUUUUUCCUUAGGCGCGUUCUAUUUUCUAAAGGCAUGUGUAUCAGAAUGGGUGGUCGAAAUUGAUAGGACUUCACCACUUCUUCAGGAGCGAGAGGUUAUGAGAAUUUAAGAGCUCAAGCAAAUAAAUCUACGAGUCUACAACACUCAACAUCUUUUGAUGUACUGAAUAAUCAAAAAAUAUACCUUAAAGUAAAAUUGCCUAGCACAAUACCAAUCAAAAUCUCUCUGUUGAUUGAGAACGAAAUUGAAUUAUGAUAUACAACCUUUUCGGCAAAAGCUGCAAGUUUUAAUUUUCUGACCAAAAUCUGUUCAUCCUGAAAUCAUGAUCUUUAAGCAAAUUUAGAACAGAGAACUCAAAAAUCUAGACUUGAUCAUUUUGUUGGAAAACUGCGGAAUCUAUUCAGAAUUAGUUGACCUUAAGUGGUGUAAUUUGGCUCUCAAUUCACAGUACUUCAUAUACUGUAUAAAAUUGCAUGAUUCUAGACACCAACACAUAAAUUCAAAAUGAGACUCACCAGCUUUACUACGUCAUUCUAAAAUGAGAUUCACCAGCAUCUUUGGCUUUGGAUCAGUACGUCAGUUACGACACCAUCCUUAUGUGAGCUCCACAUAAGGCACCAACUUGUUAUAUUGAGGAGAGGUAACCUUCGGCCCUUUGCAUAUUGAGCGAAGAGACGCAAAAAUGUCGGAGAGAGAAGACGAGACAACGCGGGAGAGAAGAGAAUUCAAGAAUCAAACAACAUAUUCCAAAACUUUGGAGACAAGACUUCCAGCCAAAAGUAACCACAAAUUUAUGAAAAUUGCACCCCACCCUGUAUAAGAAAACUCUUGAAUUGUACCAGAUAAACCCUUAAUCCAACUGAAAAAGAUGAAACUGGUACAAAGUUCAACCGAAAUGGCGUAACAAUGUUUGCAACAUUAUUCUUUUUUAACAGGAUACAUAAUUAAAGCAGUUGCUCGAAAAAAUAUCCCACAACAUAUCAAAUAGUGAAUACCAGGAUAGAUACAAGUCUGCAUACUAGAAGGAAUCAUACCAGGAUGAAUCAGGCAAGCAAAAGAAUACAAUACUUGAGGGAGCUUAAAAUUACUACUGUACCAUCUAUGGAAUUAGUUUUUCACUGUUGUGACUUGCUUCAGAAGCAUCUUGACAACAUCACCUGAUAUCCUUGAGCCCUCUGUUGACAGGUGAUUGAUCUUUUCCGCAGUUUCCACUUCAAGGCGCUUCACAUUGGCCCCAGAAUCUCCACUGCUCUGCUCAGUAACAAGCAACGAAAGAAAGGGAAAAAUUACCACAGAUAUUGCCAAUAAAAAUAAAUCUAGAAAACACUCGAGUAGAAUGGUUUUGCCAAUGUCAGUCAUCCACAUCGUGCAUGGAUGAUAGGCAGUCAUUUACCAUGCAAUCCAGAAUUUGCCCCAUGAGCAUUACAACUGCAUGGAUGACUGAUGCUAGCAAAGGUACCAAAGCUCAUACAUAUCUGAAGCUCUAUACAUGAAAAUGGAAUUUUAAAGCCAUGACCAUCUAAUGAACAAUCAAUAUAUUGCUUUCACCAAUAUAUACAUACCGCUGCAAGUUUCUUCUGGAAUUCACGCUCCACUUGGGCACGGUAAUCAGCGAUCUCCUUUUCUGCCUCGUCUUUGGCUUGUUUCAGCCUAGCGAGUUUUGCUAGCAGAAGGCAACCAAACACCAAAGCAAUUAGAAAACAACUCAAGAUACUGGAUUUCAGUGUCCAUCUAGAAAACCAGUACAAAAAAAAAAGAAAAAAGGGUAAUACCGUAACAUAACCGCAUAACCACCAUACAAAGGUUCUAGUACUCUAGUAGUAAGCUAGCAGCCUAGGACAUAAUUCGCCUAACCAAAACUCUAAAUUCGUCAAGACUGCUAGAACAUUAACCCCUCUCAUCUCUACUGACUCUAAAUAUAACCUCAUGGAGAACAAAGAGCAUCUCUCGCAACAAGGAAGUAAUUCCAAGAACACAAUCUUCCACACAACUUCUUAACCCUCUAAUUGAUCAACACAACAAUCAGAAUUUGCAAAUACACAAUCACUGCAGGAGAUCACACCAAAACACCCUGCAUAUAUUGCCAUACAUAACUCAUCAACAAUCAAAGAAAAAGAAACAAACUUUACCAUUUCUGGCAGCAUUGACGAUAUGCUGAGCUUCCUGCUCUGCAGCAAGCAAUUGUUGAAUUCCACCUUGACCCCUGUUCGAUGCUGAUGCCAUGUUUUCUGAAAUAAUAUUAAGGUUUAUAACAAUACUGCCCAAAAACAUAUCAAAAUAUACAUUACAUACAAUAAUUCAGUAACAAAACAUACAAUCCAGCACGUAUGGCGCAUCAAAACUUGAUUUCUCAGAUCAAGAUUUUUCUUUUUAAGCCUCUGAUUUCAGAAUUCUUACAUUCACAUAAUUAACAUAAUCAGUAGAUCUCUGAUUGGGUAGAGAGAUUCAUCCAAAUCAAAAGCAUUGGACACAGUUAGGAUAGUAAACUGAAUGAUCGAUUCGUAUAACAGCAACCUAAAAGGGAUCGGAGCUCAAAAGCAAUAGAAUCUCAGCGAUUUUCUGAGAACUAAAAGCAAUUGCUGUCGAUUAAAACAUAUGGAUCGCAGAGAAAUUAAGCAGAGCAUGGAAAUAUAGAGACAGAGAAGCGUGAAGUGAGUACCUUUAGAGGAGAGUAGCGAGCGUUGGGCUUGAGAUUUGGGGAGUGAAGAUUCAGAGAUAAGCGGGGACACGGAUACGAAAGACCUGUGUGUACCUUAUGUAGAAACGGAGAUGACCGUAAACUAACCCAGUUUACGCUGGUAAAUAUUCAUCCUACCCAAACGGAAACCCCAACACAAUUGGGCUUUGGGCUUAUCCAUACUACACACGUAUAUUUCUUCCAUUUUAAUAUGCAUGUAAAAUUCCCCGAUAUUUCAUUUUUAGGAAAAUGCUCAUUUGCACAUAAACAAGGAUUUUAAAGCCCAUUUAAAUGAAAAUAAGACCUCAUAGCCCAUUCCAAUGAAACUAAGUAAAAAGAUGACCUUACCCUCGCUACAAUUCAACUAAACCUCUCUCUUUUACAUCCCGAUCUGAUUUCUUCUCUCUCUCUCUCCCUCCCCCCCCCCCCCCCCCCCACCCGUCGAUACGACGACUCAGCCGAGAAGGUUGACCAACUCCUCCGCCAUCUCCAACGACACAAAGAUGGAGAAGAUGCAAAUCCAGAAGAAACGAGAGGAAGAGAUGCGCGAAUUAUAGGGCUAAUCCGCCGCCGCCUCCUCCGACGUCGCAACCGGUGGUGGUGCACUGGUGCUUCCACCUCCGAGUCAAACCCUAACGCCGCCGCGAUCACCACUUCUGUCCCGCCAUCCUCGGCCUCCAAAGCCCCAACCGACGAGGAGAAAAUUGAGAGACUCGAUCUCGGACUUGACGAGAUCGGGAGGUCGUCGGCGUUGUCGCAACUGAGGAGGUAUUACUUCAUCAGCAUAUGAGAUACUAUUAAUUCAAGAUCUCUGUAUGGUUUGUGUUUUGGGUAUUCAAACUCGUAUGUGAGAAAAUUGUUUUGCUUAAUUCAAAGUAUCUCAUGUUGAUGAAAUAUGGCUGCAUUGAAGUUGUGACUAGACUCUUGGUAUCUCAUGUAAUUUUACAACACUUCGCAAUUUACUUUUCAUCUACUUUCAUUGUCAUUGCACCUGUAUGGAGUUUGAAAAGGUUAUUAAGAGUCAGUAACUGAUUAUUGGGGGUCAAUAACUGAUUAUUGAGGGUCAGUAACCAAGUUAUUGGGGAUCAGUAACUGAUUAUUAGGGGUCAGUAACCAACUUAUUGAGGGUCAGUAACUGAUUAUUGGGGGUCAGUAACCAAGUUAUUAGAGUCAGUAACUGAUUAUUGGGGUCAGUAACGGAUUAGUGGGGGUCAGUAACUGAGUUACCGGUGACGGAAAUCCGGUGAUCGGAAAAAAUCUGAGGUACUAAGGGUCAAUAACCGACGACCGAAGAAAUUUCGGCAACCAAUGAUCGGAGUCUGGCGACCGGUGACCGGAGUCCGAUGACCGGUGACCGGAGUCCGGUGAGGUUCCGGCAAAGUCUUCUCACCCUUUCACUUUCUCUUUCCUUAUACAUGUUAAAGUGGUGAGGGUAAAAUUGUCUUAAAAAUAUACAAAAAUUAUUAUUUUUUUAUGACUUUAAUAUAGAUUUGUGUAUUUAGGCACAAAUAAGAUCACUUUAUAUUGGAAUGGGCUCAUGUAUAUUAAAUUUAUUAGAAUGAGCAAUAAAGGGUUUAAAUUAGUACUAAAUGAGCAUUUUUCUUUCAUUUUUUGUCUAGGCAAUUGAGCACAUAUCUCACCGAGUGACUCGGGUGAACAUAAUUAGCAAAUUAGAAUUGUGUGUUUCGAAUUAUCAGUUAUCAGUACCUUUUUUUUAAAUGUAUGAUUACUCUAUAUCGAGUUACAGAAGGUGAAAAGAGUUUACGAAUUAAAAAAUUACAUAUUAAAUAUCAACAUGUAUGAACCUCAAAUAAUUAAAAGUAUAAAAAUUUGAACCGGUCGGCAUAUUACCAAUUUAUUUUUUAUUUUUUUUAUUAAAAUUACCAAUUUAUUUUGAAUAAGUUCUUCAAAUUACUUUAUCAAUACAUAGUUCAUCCAUCCAUUAAUAUUCGGGGUGCAAGUGUCAUAGGAGAUUGAUUUUUUUUUUUUUUUUUUUUGGAAGAAAGAUAGGAGAUUGAUUACAUGCCAAAGAAAAAGAAAAGAAAAAAAAGUCUUGGGGUUAAAACUUCCAACUGGAAAUCCAUAUGGCUAAAGCAUUAAUUCAUAUCACCAAUAUUAUGCAGUUUAAACUUGCAGUUGAUACAACGUCCCUAGCACACGAGCAGUAACACUGUAUUGCAAUUACAAAACUUGAUAAUGAUAAAGAGAUCCUAAAUACAUAAAAUUCUUGAAGGCAGAGUACUAGUGUCUCAGAGAUCCUCUCUCUUAGCCAAUUCGUAAUCGUAGUCUGCUUUUGACUUGUUAUAUUUCUUCUUAUUGAACACAAUACCCGCCAAUCCAACCACGCACACAGCACCAAGAACAAAACCAACCAUUGUUACCCUGUUCUUACUCUGCUCCGAACUAUAAUACUCAUCGUCAAAUUCAACACUCUCGUCCUCCGCUCUGUAGUUGGAUGGCAGUACAGUAGGGUUAGGAGCCAUGUCAGAGUCAGGAGAACUAGCAAUAGGCUCAGUAUCUGAUAAUGGUUCGGAUCCGAACACAGAAGAUGGUUCUGGUGCCGGAGCUUGAGUUGGAGUGUAGAGCUCGUAGACUUCAGGAGCCUCAACUUCAGCGUAAGGAGGAGAAGAAUGGUAUUGUGUGAAGUAAGGAGCUGGGGAAGGAGAGUAGGCUGGAGAGAGAUUGAGCUGCUGUGCUUCUUCUGCUGCUAAGGCAUCGAUAUAAGGUGGUGGUGGUGGUGGAGAAUAUUCCGAUGCAUCUGAAGAGAGCGAAGCAUCUCCUCCGCUUUCAGGAGGCUCGGAAUAAGGAGACGGAGAUGAAGAAGAGAAUGGAAGCUCAUCGUCUGCCGGCAUUGUGUAGUUUGCCGCUGAGGCGGCCAUUGUUACAGAGAGCAGAGUAAUGAUGCAGAAACAUAUCUUGGAGAGCUUGGCUGCCAUGGUGUUAAUGAUUUUGCUUUGUAUGAUAAAAUGUGGCUUAGGAAGAUAUUGUAAAACUCUUAUGGCUGAAUGUUGAAGAAGGGUUUGUUCUUAUAAAUAAAGGUGAUGAAAUAAGAGAUCCGGUAGCAAUGACAAGUUGGAUUUAGAAUGUGUUAGUUGGUGGGAGACGGGUUCAAUUCGGAAUUUAAAUUCCGACUAUGAAAUAUUAGUGGUGAAAGGGUUGCUUAGACAAUAUUUACUUAUGAUUAUUAAUGUUUGAUUUGAGAACUUAAUGCCGGAGGUGAUAAGCUAAUAACGAAAGCUAAUAAUAAUCGUUGCAUCGACAUGCUGAAAGGAACUUGCAGGAUUGAAAUUCGACCUGUGGAUUGGAAAUAAUGCAUAAUUUAGUUGUGUUACUUGAGCAAAUAGUAGAAGAGCAACUCUAACGGUCUAACCUGAUAAAAAAAAAAAAAAAUCCAUAUUAUUGGUUUUCAAAAUUGUUCUAAAUUUUGGGGUAUCUUGAUUGUUUUGCUUCAAACAGAUUCCUUAAAAUUUUGGGAAAAUGUCUAAAUGCAUAAAAAUAAGAAAAUCAAAACUCACUUGAAUGAAAAUCUAAUGUCUAUACACUACCAGAAGAAAGGCUUUAGCCGACGAAAAUAAAAAACCAGGCCGACGAAUUUUUUUUUUCGCGGCUAAAGUCCACUUUAGCCGACGAAUUUUUUUUUUGUCGGCUAAUUUAAAAUUUUCGUCGGCUAUGGUCAACUUUAGCCGACGAAAGUAAUAUUUCAUCGGCUGAAUAAUUUUUUUCAUCGGCUAUAGUCUGUGAACUUUAGCCGACGAAAUUUUUAAAAGUUUAGCCGACGAAAUUUUUAAAACUUUAGCCGACGAAAUUUUUAAAAGUUUAGCCGACGAAAAAAAUAUAAUUUCGUCGGCUAAAGUGCCUUAUAUUUGCAGAUCUAGACAACAACUCAUAUGAGAAAAAAAAAACUAUACGUAGAACCUUCAAACGCAAAAAAGUCGUGAAAUAAGAUAUGACCAGAACGGUAAAAUACGACUACGGUUGAAAAAUCACAGUAUUCCGGUAAAGUCUUGGUGCCGAUAGUUGACUUACCCUUACUAUUCACUAUGCUGCAGAUUUGGCGUUUAGUGUCUGAUUGACUAUUGUGAUACCUUUCUGGAAGCGUAACGGCGCUACGAGUGAGACUCAUCGCUAAUGCCAUGAUGUAUAGGCUUUUUUGGCCAUCCGAGUCCGUUUAGGGCUUGAAAAUGCAGUUUUCUUAUUUUCGAUUAGAGUUGACCGUUUCGAUCAAGCCCUGAACGUUGUCGAAUCCAGUUGAAUUUUUUACCAUAGACAUCUUUCGUCAUAAUGAUCAUAUCUGACGGUCGAAUUUUGGUUUGUGAAUUUUAGUCAUCGGAAUCACAACGUGUCUACUAUUUACCGUUAUUCGGGUUUAUGGGGAGCCCUAUCGUCGGAAGGUAAAUGUCUCAAAUUUUAUAUGGGCAGUUUCGUCUCAUCUACAUGAGAGUUUUUUGUGUGGAAGGUUUGACCNNNNNNNNNNNNNNNNNNNNCUUCGAUUUCUUCUAGAAAGUUGUUCGAAAUGUUGAGACGAAGAUUCUGUCAAAUUUUUGGUCGUGAUUGGAGGUGGCCGAAAGUUUCUGCAGUUUUUUUUCAAAACCCAGCAACUUUAGCCGACGAUAUUUAAACACUAUAUUCGUCGGCUAUAGUAUUUUUUAAUUUUUUUAUAAGGUUUAGCCGACGAAUUAUGGCAUUGUUCGUCGGUACUAUUAAGUUUAUUUUUUAAUUUUUUAUAAGGUUUAGCCGAACGAAUAUAGUAAUUCGUCGGCUAUAGUUAUUUUUUAAUUAUUUAUUACACACUUUAGCCGACGAAUAUAUUAAUUGUUUCGUCGGCUAAAGUCUGGGAAAAAAAACCGACGACAUGUUUUUCGUCGGCUAACUGUGGGACUAUAGCCGACGAAAAUAAAAAUUUCGUCGGCUAAAGUCAUCACCGACGAGCUUUUCCCGACGACACUAUAGCCGACGAGCCUUCGUCGGCUAAGAUCUUAGCCGACGAAUUAAGAUAACAGGCCGACAAAAAUUUUUCGUCGGCUAAAGUGCUUGUCCUGGUAGUGAUACCCAUUUCAAUGAUUAUUAAGAAAAAAAUCAUUCUAUCCUUAUCUUAUUCAACUAACCUAUCUAUCUGCUUUAUCUCACCGGAUCUGAAACUUACUACACCUCUCUUUCUCGAAACCCUAAACCCUAAACCAUAUAUGACAUUCUAAUGUCAUUACAACCAUUACUAUAUAACACAAACUUCACACUUUUAAACAUGAUAUAAAAGUGCACAAACUAAACACAAGACAUUCAAUACUACAUCAACGCAUACACUAAUACAGAAGUGGAACACUAGGGAUCAUGAUUCAAUAAGCUUCCUCGAUAAUAUUGGUGGAAAUUAAAGAAGUAUGUUUGAAUAAUUAACUUUGAAAUUAUUUAGACUAUGAACCUGUUUUUUCUUCUGUUCAUGGAUUUCAAGUAUUGAGUUCUAGUUAUAUCAUGAUUAAUAAUUGGGAUGAAUGUAGUAAAACCCACUUUUGAGGUGUAGUAUAACAAGUUUAUGGCGACAAUUUGGGAACUAAAAUUCAUAGACUCAUAGUGCAAGAUGCUAUAGCAUAUAUAUUGUAUUGAGGAGAUGUUGGCUACUACUCUUUCUCACUGAAAAAUCCAAAAUCAUAUUGUUGUAAAAGGAUUAUUAGACCAACCAAGUCUGUCAUUUUUAGACAUUGGAUAUCCAGUUUUAUGGAAAAUUCUAGUAUACUAUAUGAUAUAACAUGCCUUCCAAAAUAAUAUAGCAUGCCUCCCAAAAUAAGGAAAUGCUUAUUUAGUACUAAUUUAAACCCCUUAGAGCAACUCCAGUAAAAGUGUCAAAGUUUUUGGUCAAAUUUAAAUUUUGACAUGUGAGAUGGAUUUUGACAAUUUGGCAAAUUUUCACUCCAACCAUUCUAUUAAAAGAGUUGAAUAUUUUAUUGUUAGAUUUUUAUUAUGAAACCUCAACUAUUCUAUCUCUCCUAGUCUCUCACAGAUCAAACUCAACUCAAACUCAACUGCUUAUGAUCUCUUUCUCAUCGAUCAAACACAAAAAUCCUAUUUUCACUGAUCCAUUUCAUUACUUUGGGACUCCACUAUCGCACCCACUACUCCUUCUCCUUCUCCUUCUCCUUCAUCUGCCCUCUCUCUAUUUCUCAUUUUCUCUCUUCAUCUUCUUCGAUCUCUUCUGUUAUCUUUCCCUUUUUCCUCUUUUAGUUUAUAUGUGAGAUCAAAGAAGCAUCAAUAUCGUGAAUACAGUCCCGAUCCGACCUCAAGAUGCGACAUGCAUGACAAUCACACCUUAAAUCCAAUCCGUGAGUUUUUCAUUUUGAACUCUCAACCCUCCAAUCUCUUUUCUUUAUUUCCCCAAAUUUGAAUGAAAAAUAUUUUGUCUGGUUUGAACGAAGGUCUGGGUGCGAAAAUUUUGUCUGGGUGCGAAAUUUGGGUAUUGUAGGAAGAAAUACAUGGACUAGAGGAAGAUUUGAAGGCCUGCCAUGAACAUCGAUCUGGGCAUAACGACGGUGAGAAGAGAAGGAAAAAUGGAAAAGGAAAAACAAUAAAAAAAGAUUUGACAAGAGGAGUUGAUCUUGUCAAGUUUGACAAGGUGAGACUGGAGUAGUCAUCCACGGUGGAUUUGAACGGUGGGUUAGAGAGACAGGGUGUGGUCUUUUGUUAACGUUGGAGCUCCACGGUGGAUUUUGACUACACCGUUGGAGAUGCUUUUAUUGCCCAUUCCAAUGAAUUUAUUAGACAUGAGUCAAUCUAUUCUAAUAUAAGGUGUUCAUAUUUGUGCCUAAAUACACAAAUCUAAAUUAAAGUCAUAAUAAAAUAAUAAUUUUUGUAUUUUUUAAGACAAUUUUACCCUCAUCACUUCAACAUGUAUAAAAGAGAGAAAGUGAAAGAGUGAGAAGACUUUGCCGGAACCUCAAUGGACUCCGGUCACCGGUCGCUAGACUCCGGUCACCGGUCGCUAGACUCCGGUCACCGGUCGCCAGUCUCCGGUCACCGAUCACUGGACUCCGGUCAACGGUCACCGGUUCCCGGUCGCCGGAAUUUCUUCGGUCGCUUGUUAUUGACUCCUAGUAACUCAGAUUUUCUCUGGUCGUCGGAUUUCGGUCACCGAUAACUCGGUUACUGACCCCUGAAAACUUGGUUACUGACCCCCAAUAUUUGGUUACUGACACUCAAUAAUCAAUUACUGACCCCAAUAAUCAACUUAUUUCAGCUUAUUGUAAUAGAAAAGAAGAAAUACCGGAACAUAAUGGAGUUAUUGACCCCAAUAUUAGUUAUUAACCCCCAAUAAAAUGUUGAAACAUUAUUGUGAGGCCCAUAAGGGCAUCCAAACCCCCAACCCAUUGUCAAGGACCCAAGCCCAAACCAAAAAAUUGCUCUGGGCACCCAAAGCUGGCACCCACACACUUCCCGGCCGCCAUUGUCGUCGACUCCGGCGUCCAACCUUACGCCAAUCGUCACCCAUCCAUUUCUGUUCGGAUCCAGAUCUUCAUUGGCUUCAGGCCAGAGCAGACCUGGCGUAGAUGAACGCUGAUCGACAAGCGCCGAACGCCAACUGCUGAGCGACAAGCGUUGACCGCCAAUCGUCGAGUGACGAGCGCCUACUGCCGUGCGAUGAGCGCAGAGCGACGAGGCCUCGGUCUUUGGGAAGAAAUCAAAUUCUAGAGUUUUGGAUAUGCAGAGUAUUACGGUGAUUCUCAACAUAUCUCACUUGGUGACGGUGUCCAUGCGGCGGAGGAGCGACGACACAGCUUAAAGAUCUCACCGGCAGCAGAGUUUAGCUCGGUUCACGUCUUUAAGGUAGCGGCUUCGUCGUUGAGGGCUCGAGUCUCUGAUUCAAGAGAGAGAGAGAGAGAGAGAGAGAGAGAGAGAGAGAGAGAGAGAGANNNNNNNNNNNNNNNNNNNNGAGAGAGAGAGAGAGAAUUCUAAUCGGAAAAGGAGUGAGAGAGGGUAGUUGAAUAGGAGUGGAAGUAAAUUCGUCUUUUGUUCGAGUUUCAUUGAAAUGAGCUCAUGAAUAAGAUUUGGGUGCCACCCUACCAAAUACUUUGUUUACCCCACAUUUCAAUUUUAAACUAAAUAUUUAAAUACUAACCCCACAAUCAAGAAUUUUUGUGAAAUAUAAUAUUUAACUAAAAUCUAUAAAAUCGAAAUAACAACAAUUCUCUACAUCUUUACAUUGGGAAAAAAAAAAAAAUUCUCUACAUCUUUCAAAUCAGAUUUGAGAAUCACUUAAAUCUUUAACAUGGUGGUAAUACAGCGUGGUGUGACUGUUCGUUCUUAUUUUUAUUUUAUUUAUGGCUUAAAAUGUAGUCUUUCAUACAUAUAUAUAUAUAUAUAUAUAUAUACACAGUCUNNNNNNNNNNNNNNNNNNNNUAUAUAUAUAUAUAUAUAUAUAUAUAUAUAUAUAUAUAUAUAUAAUACGUAAAAAGGAAAUCAAGAAAGAGAUCGAGGAGAACAUAUAUAGGAUGUGGUUUGAGAAGAAUGGAGGUCUGCAUCAAAUAUAUUGAUGAGAUAUUUGUACAUAUUUUUAGAUUUUAUCAGAUUGAGAAAAAUAAAAGAAAGAAAAUAAAAACUAGAUUUUCUCAAAAUUUUAAGGGUAGAAUUAGAACGUUAAAGGCAAAAAAUAAGGUGUGGGGUGAACUGAGCAUUUAGUGGGGUGGAAAUAACUGCACCCAUAAGAUUUUCAUUGAAUUAGGUUCUAAUUUACUUGUUUUUGUGCAAAUGGGCAUUUUCCCCACAAAAUAUGUGGCUAUCAUUGAUUAAAGAAGCAACUAAAUAACCAUGUAAUGACCAUUUAACCCCUCAAAAACCCUCAUGUGUCAUACAAUUAGACACAUUUACAAUAGGUAUGUCAUACCAUAUGGUAUGAUAGACAAACCCCAGUUAAAUACCUCAUUAGCAAUCUAUGAAUCAAAAUAGAGCAGAACAUUAUAGUCUAACACUGUGCCAUUUCUUGCAUCAGGCGACACAACUGUUGUGUCACCUGAUAAAAAUCGUAAGUGUCGCCUUCUAACAUGUCGUUGAUGAGGUUCUCCGACAACACAAAUGUUGUGUCGCCUAUAAGAACCUCAGGCGACAGAAGACUUUUUUCAUUUUGUGUCGCCUGAAUUAAGAUAAGACGACACGGUAUAUAUGUCGUCUGAUAGUUUAAACAAUGACAUGCUAGAAGGCGACAUAUCUUUUUUGCCGUGAGGCGACACAGCCCUUUGUGUCGCCUUAUAACUGCGAGUGAGAGAGAAAUACGCCUUACACCAACAUAUAUGUGUAGGUUAAUUUAUUUAAAGACGACAUUUAAACGUCAUGUGAAAAUGUUACAGGCGACAUAUACUUGGUGAAUUAAACUGUAAACUUUUUCACGCUACAUUUAUGUGUCGCUGGAUGAACCCACACGACAUACUAUUGAUGUUGUUUCUAGUCUAGACGUAGUACGACGACACAUAUGCAUUGGAUGAAUGAUCUUCAGGCAACAUAUAUUUUUUUUUUUCUAUUUUGGUCUCUUUAAGACAAUAGGUAUAUGUCGUCUGAUAUGCUUUAAACUUUCACUACAUGAUAUUUUUUAGGCUUUCGACAUUUUCAGGCGACAUUUGUCUAUCGUAUGAAUGAGCUUGAGCGACAUAUAAAUGAUGUCUUCUUUUGAUUUAAACUCUCCAUUUACGUUGCCGAUUGUUCUUUAUGGCCUCACAUUUCUGGUAUCUUAACUUAGUAAAAAAAAUUACAUUGAAUGAUUAUCUGAUCAAAUGCAGAAAAUGAAAAAUCUUAUUGGCAAUAAAUGUUAAGCAUCACAAUGAAAAAACACCAUUACUUUGUACCCAAUAGACAAUACAUCAAUCAAUAUAAUUUUUAUAGCUCUGCAUAUUUUGCAAAAUUGUAUUGUAUGUGUCUAGCUACCAACAGACUUCCAAAAUAAAGUUCACCCUCACCUCAUUUAAAAGCUCAAAAUGGAACUCUAUAAUUUACACUCAGCACCCAAAAGGUGUUUAGCUGCACUAACACUUUCAUCGCCAACGUACCUUGCCAAUUUCAUAUAUCAACCAUGAAUGAGAAACUAACCCAAAGCCAUAAACCAAAUUUGUAAACUCAGCAGCUGCUCACCUUAAUAUCAAAAUCCUAAAAAUGAUCUCAGCCUCUCUAAAGAAGGACUCAGCAAUCUGCGGCCAAAUGAACCAAAAGAGGAUAUGAACCUGAGGUUCAUUCCUCUACCACCAACGCAGUAGCUCUGCCCAAUUCUCCUUUCAGCCUCUUCUUUCCUAUUAGUGAAAAGAACAUAUCUAAGUCACCCAAAACAACAACCCAACAACCAACUCAUAAACAACUCAAAUCCCAGAAUCUUAAUAUUUUCAAGAACACAGAUUCCCCAAAGUUGAACCGAGAGGGGAAGUCACUUACCCAGACUUCUGAGGCUCAAGGAGAAGGUGGCCAAUCCAAUGGUCGGCGGCCGGAUGGAACUCGGAGCCGUCGUCAGUGUUAUUGGCUGCAACAAACUCGGAAACCACAAAACCCAAAUUGUUAAGUUGUACUCAAAUCGAAUAUCUAAUAACACAGGCCUAUAGAUAUAGUCAAGGAGAAGAAGAUUCUCACCACAUGGACGUGAAUUGGUCACCAGAAAAUGCAGAACAUAGCCGAGCUCUUCUUUUCAUUCAGUCUCCUUUGAAUUGGGUUGCGUGUGUGAUCUAUGGACUAGGUUUUGUAGAUGAGAAGAAGAGGAAGAGUUUGGUGGUGGUCUUGCCGUCUGGAUUAAUGGCCGGAAUCGGCGGGAGAGCGGCACAGAAGAUGGCUGUGGGGGAGAGAGAGAGACGGGUCAACCCUAGAAAUGGGCUUUUGACCGAAUUCAAGAACCUCAUUCCUUCUUAAAUGAGUUCGAAUUUGGGCAAAAUUUUGAGGGUGGGAAACAGCCCGCCAAAUAUUUGGGCAAAAAAUUUAAACUUUUGGUGAUUUUUUGAACCAUUUGCUCAUGAAAUGGGUUGACCGUCUCGAUCGAGACCCAAACGUUAUCGAAAAUAUGUGAUUUUUUUACCGUAACCAUAUUUCACUAUACAUAACACAUCCUACGAAAGGAUUUGCAAAACUCUAUUUAUAAGAUAUAGUUGCUUCACAAAGGCAUAUACUUGCAUAAAAGCCACUAAAUGAGUUAUAUCACAUUAGAAUACAUGUUGUGGUUCUAAUGUCUAAAAUUCAAAAUAUUAAAUUUCGACCGGCUGAUGUGAUCAGUGUAUUUAAAUACGGAUGUGGUGAAAAAUUCAAUUAAUUUUGAUAAAGUUUGGGUCUCGAUCAAUGUGGUCAACAUUAACUCAACUUUAUCUAAUUAAGCGAAUACGCUCUUACCCUCUCCUUCUUGACUAGUUUUGGUGGAUUCUUUCACGCACACACUCUCACAUGUAUGUGAUGUAGCAGCUUGUGUAAAAUUUUCAGAAAUUUUACCUUCCGAGGAUAGGGCUACCCGUAAGGGAUAAUAAAGCGUAAAAAGGGUUGAUCGCCUCGAUCGGGACACAAAUGUUAUCGAAUAUAUGUGAUUUUUUUACCGUAACCAUAUUUCACUAUACGUAACAUAUCCUGCGGACGGAUUUGCAAAAUUCUAUUUACAAGAUAUAGUUGCUUCACAAAUGCAUACACUUGCAAAAAGACCACUAAACAAGUUAUACCACAUUAGUAGGCAUGUUGUGGUUCCAAGGUUUAAAAUUCAAAAUAUUAAAUUUCGACCGUCAGAUGUGAUCAGCGUAUUUAAAUACAAAUAUGGUCAAAAAUUCACCUAAUUUUGAUAAAGUUUGGGUCUCGAUCGAUGUGGUCAACUUUAACUCAACUUCAUCUAAUUAAGCGAAUACGCUCUUACCCCCUCCUUCUUGAGUAGUUUUGGUGGAUUCUUUCAUGCACACACUCUCACAUAUAUGUGAUGUAGCAGCUCCUGUCAAAUUUUCAGAAAUUUUACUUUCCGGGGAUAUUGCUACCCGUAGGGGAUAAUAAGCGUAAAAAGGUUGACCGCCUCGAUCGGGACACAAACGUUAUCGAAAAUAUGUGAUUUUUUUACUGUAACCAUAUUUCACUAUACGUAACGCAUCCUGCGGACGGAUUUGCAAAAUUCUAUUUACAAGAUAUAGUUGCUUCACAAAUAGGUCAACUUUAUUUACGAUUAAAUUUCUAUAAGCUUUCCUAUAUAUGGGGAGCUAUAUAGUCGCUUGAUAAACUUGUCCAAAAUUUCACAUAGAUUAGUUUUGACAAUAUUGAAUGAGAGUUUUAGUGUUGACGAAUCGAAAAUAUAAGUCUCGACCGAUGUAGAUAAGAGCAUUUCCAUUUUGAUAAAUGUGUUGACUUUUAAAUUUUCACAAAUUGUCAAUUCAAUAAAAAUUCAAUAUCAGCCGACACAUAAAUAUUAUCUUCUUAACAUAAUUAAAUAAAAUUUUCAUACAAGUUGUCAAUUUAAUAAACUUCAAUAUCAGCCCACACAUAAAGGUUGUCUUAUCAACAUAAUUAAGUAAAUUUUUCACACAAGUUGUCAAUUCGAUAAACUUUAAUAUCAGCCAACACAUAAAUGUUGUCUUAUCAACAUAACUGAGUAAAAUUUUCACACAAGUUGCCAAUUCGAUAAAAUUCAAUAUCAGCCAACACAUAAAUGUUAUCUUAUCAAGAUAACUGAGUAUAAUUUUCACACAAGUUGCCAAUUUAAUAAAAUUCAAUAUCAGCCAACACAUAAAUGUUGUCUUAUGAACAUAAUUCAGUAAAAUUUUCACACAAGUUGUCAAUUCGGUAAAAUUCAAUAUCAGCCAACAUAUAAAUGUCAUCUUAUCAACAUAAUACAAAAUUCAAUAUCAGCCGACACAUAAAUGUUGUCUUAUCAACAUAAUGAAGUAAAAUUUUCACACAAGUUGUCAAUUCAAUAAAAUUCAAUAUCAGCCGACAUAUAAAUGUCGUCUUAUCAACAUAAUGAAGUAAAAUUUUCACACAAAUUGUCAAUUCAAACAAAAUUCAAUAUUAGCCGACACAUAAAUGUUGUCUUAUCAACAUAAUGAAGUAAAAUUUUCACACAAGUUGUCAAUUCAACAAAAUUCAUAAUCAAUCAACACAUAAAUGUCGUCUUAUCAACAUAAUGAAGUAAAAUUUUCACACAAGUUGUCAAUUCAACAAAAUUCAAUAUCAGCCGACACAUAAAUGUCGUUGUAUCAAUAUAAUGAAGUAAAAUUUUCACACAAGUUGUCAAUUCAACAAAAUUCAAUAUCAACCGACACAUAAAUGUCUUCGGAUUAACAUGAGUAAAAUUUAGACAAUUGAGACUAAAGUUGACCACUUUCUUCACCGACAUAUAUGUGUUGCCCCGAAAACAGACCUUUUUUUCAAAGAAAACUGGUAUUGUCUAAGUACACUUCCACCAACACAUAAAAAAAAUGUGUCGCCCCGAAAUCCCGAACCACACUUAAUUUCGCAUGUGUCGUCUAAUUGGUGUUGCCUGAUGCAGGAAAUGGCAUAGUGUAACUUCUUUUUAAGAUUUUUUUUUUCCAGUCUUUUAUGAAAAACCUUGAAGGUCAAGGUUCUUAAUUAACCGUUUUACCUUUGGAGAGCAAUAGCAAUUGAUGAUUGAGAAAAGUUGACUGAUGAAAAACCCUUCAAACUUGGCUUCAACAGUACUAUUUGAAAUGGGAUCGACUGAAUUUCGGUAUUUGGGUAGGAAGAAGAGAAUUGCGAUAGAACCGAUGAAUUAAGAACCGUAAACCUUUAAGGAUACUGUCGUUGAUACUUUAAAAAAAAAAUAUAUAUAAAGAACCGUAUGCCUUUUGCAUUUCACAUCUGCAUCACAGCAUGUACCUUUGCCACUUUCAGCACGUAGGAUUUAGAGUUGUAGUAUGAAUAUCAGCAAAUCAUCAAUUGAAAUUUCAAAAUCGGCAAGAAAAACCUACCCACAACUAACUUUUACUACUGUAUUCUCAAUAUGCUUCAUUAUAGAAAUGAUCUGAUUGCAAUACUAAGUUGAUGAUCAACUAGGAGCUCUAUGAGCUCUAUAGUGAUGUACUGUGUAGCUGGUGUGUGAAAGCAAGGCAGGGUCUCAGUCUCUCAGACGUCCUCCCUCCUGGUCAAUUCGUACUGGUCCUCUGAAAUUGGCUUACUAUCUUUCUUCUUAUUAUUAUAGACAAAACCAGCCAAUGCCACCAAGCAAAUAGCACCAAGCACAAAACCUACCAUCGUCAUCCGGUUCUUGCUUUGUUCCGAACUAUAUUCUUCACCUUCAAAAUCACCGUUCUCGUCCUCUGCUCUGUAAUCGACUGGCAAUACAGUAGGAUGUGGAGCUAAGGCUGCAGAGUCUGGAGAACCAGACCAAGUGUCAGCUGACUGAUCCGACCAAAAACUAGAAGACGGUUCAGGUGCUGGAGCUUGCUCAUAGACUUCAGGAGCCUCAAUUUCAAUAUUGUAAGGAGGAGAAGGGUAAUUGGUGAAGUAAGGAGAUGGUGAAGGAGAGUAGUCCGGAGAGAGAUUAAGCUGCUCUGUUUCAAUUUCAGCGGCUACAGCAUCAAUGUAAGAUGGUGUUGGUGGAGGAGAAUGUUCUGAUGAAUCUGAAGAGAGCAAAGAAUAUACGGUACUUUUGGGAGGCUCUGGAUAAGAAGACAGAGAUGAAGGAGAGAAUAAAAUCUCACCAUCUGCAGGCAUUUCGUUUGUCGAUGAGGCCAUUGUUAGGGAGAGCAGAAUUACGCAGAUUAAUAACUUGGAGAGCUCAGAUGCCAUUGUUUUUUAAAUCUUGUUGUACGUGUAUCAGUGUAUGGUUCAAUUUGGUUGAGAAACAGAAUGAGUAACGUUGCAGCUAAAUGCUAGAUAUCAGAUGCUUAUAUAAACUUCAUGAAAGGUAAAUGCAUUAUCUAUUGAUUCAAUAAGUUGCUGAAUGUAGUAAUUUCUGGAAAUAAAUGAGAUUUCAAUUUCGAGUAUGGCGUUUAAAUCAUUGAGGGGAAAGUGACUGUGACUUGUAUAUGAAGUAAUGUUGACAAGGCCCGUCUUGGAUGUAUUUCUUUCCAAUUUUUAUUGCUUGAUUUGAACAGCUAAUGUGAUGUGAUUAAUUUCAAUUAGUUGGCGUGGCAAUAUCAACUGAAUGAAAAAAAUUUCCAAGAAAAAAGAAAUGGAAAUCAUAGAUUGAAUAUUUGGGCUGUAAGAGCAUCACACAUUGUUUCUUGUUUGUUAUUUGUUAUUUGUUGUUUUUUUUUUUUUUGAAGAUUUGUUGUUUCUUGUUUGUUAUUUGUUGUUCUGAGCAUUAGACAAAUCUACUUUUGCUUGAAUAUACGGAAAUUCAGGGACAAAUCUACUUCAAUAUUCAAAACCAAUUCAUGUCAUGUUGUUUGAACCAAUAUUUGGCAUGACCUACGUGGCAGACUAAAUAGACGGGUCCAUUAAUGACCGCGGCUAUUAAUGAGUAAAUAUCGCGACUCAUCCUGUUAUUAAAGAUGAUAACCGCGGCUAUUGGUGUUUUGAGCCGCGAACACCCUAUGUUGAGCCGCGGACGUCUUUGUUGAACCGCGGACGCCUUAUGUUGAGCCGCAGACGCAAGCCGUGGCUCACCCUAUGUUGAGCCGCGGACAUCUUAUGUUGAGCCGCGGACGCUUUAUGUUGAGCCGCGAACAUGAUUGUUGAGCCGCAGACACCUUAUUUCGCUGCGGUUAUUCAUGAGUUACAUUGGCCAAGUAAGGAGAAUAAAUGUUAUAUCCUAUCAAACCCAUAUGAGAUCGACUGAUUGGUAUUUACAAGCUAAAUUACGGUCAAAGAUGACGCUUUCAAGGGAGACGUCACUACAGUUACCAAACUUGCGGCAAUCAAAUUGAAUGAGCUUUAUUAUAAUUUAAUCCAUGGUUUACCUGUAAUUCAUCCAUGUGUUCAAAGCUGGGAUUACGUUUUCUUUAUUUUACUUCACUAUAAAAAGGACCUUAGGAUUCUUUGUUAGAGGUCCUCGACCAAACGCUCUACGCGAUUACACAUUUUUAUCUUAAUACAAUUAAGGUUCUCAGCAUUACACAUAUCAAUUCUUCAGUGUCUAUCUUAUCGUUUUUAUUUACUGGUACUUGUCUAUCUUUGCCGCGAUUUACAUUAUCAUUCUUUACAUACUUGCAAUUUAUCUUACUGUUCGUUACUUUUCCGCAUUAUCGUUCCUGCAAUCUACAUUCGUGUUCUUUACGUUAUCUUUAAGUUUCCUGCAUUUUAUUUGCUGCACUUUACAUUCUUGCAUUUGCACCAUCACAACAUUCACCUAGUCACACAUCACCAAUAUCGGCUUGCUAGCCGAUCCGUGUUAAAGUCCUUGCAUCCAAGGCAGAGAGAACCCUACGACCGAGAUCGAUCCUUCCUCGGUCCAUAAUCGACUGAUCAGAAGUUAAGACAGUGCAUCUACAUACAUAUCAGAACAAAACCUCGCUUGGCCUCUCAGCCGCGAGUUGGCACGCCAUUGCACAUGUCACCAAGCCAGAAGGACACGUGUAGCCCAAAGAAGCCCUCGGCCCAUUGACACGUGGCCGGGACGAUUUUUGAGCCAACACAUGUAUGUGAAGACAUAGGGUAUAUUAUAGACAUAAAUUUUAAUUUGGAAGUGUGCUUUUCAAUGUGAUAGCACACUAUAUAGGUAUGUAACUAUGAAAAGACAAUGUUUGCUUUUGAAAAUACUCUGUAAAUUAAGCCUAAGAUAAGGUAUUUGAGGAAAUUAAUAUGUUUAUAUGAGUAUUUGAAACAAGUAAAUAAACCAAAACAAAUAAAGGUUCAGAUGAAUCAACUUGUUAAAUUGAUAGAAUUGUUAUGCAGUUUUUUGACUCAACUUUCUAUAAAAUCCAAAUCAACUAUAAAUUCUUGAUUUUCGUGUUUCUGUUUAUCAUUCUCUAUCUCUAAAUGUGAGGUAAAUUUAUAAUAUUUGUGUGAAUUGUCCAUAAAUAUUUGGUGAUUUUCUAGAAUUCUAGGUAGUUGUUCCAUCCCAUGUAUUUAUUCCUACAAGGACGAUACCAAUCAAUCAAGGCAUCAUAUAUUGGUAAAAAAAAAAAUCAGUUUAUCUUUCCAAAUAACAUCGAAAGUUCUUGUAUGCACCAUGGUGCAUGUGAACCAAUCAUGACUGACCAAUCACUAUCAUUCAUUUAAUGCAGUCAACUAUAUAACACUAACACCAAUACUAACACCGUUAAAGAGAAUUGAAACAAAAAAAAUUAAAUGAACAUGGUAAAAGUAAGGCUAAGGUAAAUAUUAAUUGGCAAUUAAUUCCAAAUCGCAAUUAAUAUGAUUUUUAAAUAUUUUAGCGAGAUUUUUUAUCCUUCUNNNNNNNNNNNNNNNNNNNNUAUCUAUUUAUUAUUUUUAUUGUUGUAUUUGUAAUAAAUAAUUUAUUUUUAAUUAAAAUUAACCUAAUUAAUCGAAUAUUCGAUUACAUUAAAGGGAAUAAACGUACAUGAGUCAACUAAAGUUGAAUCAAAAUUAUCUCUUGAGAUUAUUUUCAUCUUGUCGGAUUGAGCCAACUCCAUUUCGUUCUAUAGUUAUUUUUCAAAUUGAGCUAUAUUAUCUAAAUAAAAUGUUAUGUGAUGAUAUCAAAACAUAUGAUUCCAUUACUCAUGCUCAUCAACCUUGUAUAUAUUUUUUUUAGUUUUAGAAUCCUACAUUAUUUAGAUAAAGUUUGGUUAUGAGUAUCGUUAUUUAAUAUAGUACAUUUGAUCAUGUCGAUUGUGACACAAACGAAUAUCAUAAGGACAAUUAUUUUGCAUAGCUAUUUUAUCCUAAAUUGCAUUAUGUGAGAAACAAAAAAGACUCGAAUCACUCGACAUUGCCUAUAGAUACUUGAACAAGGACAAGUGUGGUAUGUAGAUCACUAUUGUACUGAUACUGUCUCAAUUUAACCAUCUUUAAAAAGUUGGGUUUUAACUAUAAAAAACUUCGGUACAAUUAGGUAUAAUUCAUACACUUAUAAGUUAUAUUUUUCUUUGUCCAUUUUCUGAUGUGAGAUCUUUCCUCUCUAACAUAUAUAUGGCUUGGUAAUAUGAAUCAUGUGAAAAAAGUAGUUAUGUUUAUCAUUGUUUAGGUUUGAAUUAAGACAACGAAUUGUUAAUUUUUUAUUUUCCUAAAAUGAAAUAAAUAACAUUCAAAUCCGAUAUCCAAAUUUUGGUGACUAUAAGCUUUGAUGAUCGAUUGCUGAACUUCAACAAUUAUUGUACAAAUUUUUGAUAUCUUGCCUAAUUAAUCGUGUAUUUUCUCUGUAGUUAAUUAUCAUGCUUAUUUAAAAAAAAAAAAAAUUAGGCCUAACUUGUAAAUCGUCAUUCUCAUAUAAAUACGGUUAAUACUUAUUUAAGUUAAUUACAGACAUGUUUUUAAACUUGCCUAGACCUAUAAUAUAUAUAUAUAUAUACACACACAUUAAUGUAAACCUCCAUAAAUUAAGGGUUUUUUCCCGUCCGCCAGUUUGUAAGGGAUUUUUUCCAUUGACUCCCACUAGCUAAAUAUUUAAUUUUUCUCUAUUUUUCUAACAAAACUGCCGUUCCUUCUCAAUCUCUCAUCUCUCUCUCCCCAUCUGGAUUUCUUCCAGAUCUAAUCCCUCUCUCUCUAGUCUCUCCCAUACCAGUCUCCCACAUCGACGACCAAUGCUGGCGGCGCUGCUAGACCCGAAAGCCGCUGAUACCAUAGCCUCUAGUCGGAGCUUCCGACGACGUGCGACGACGACAACCACCACCAACACCUCUCAAUGACUCCUCCUUCCACUCCCCAACCCUCGCCGUCAAAUUCCUUCGCAUCGAGAUCGUCCUCAAAGUCUAUUGUCGAGAUUAGCUUCGGCGGUCGACGUGUAUUGUUUUCUGGAGGCUGGGUUCUUGUGGAGAGUGAAAGAGGCUAGGUGGUAUUGUUUUCUGGUUUUUACUGCCGUAUUGAUUUUUUUUGUCGUUAACCAUCGUUAAUGAGUCUGUUAGUACAAUUGACUGGUUCAAGUGCACUGUGGUGCACUGAAUCCGCUCCGAAAAUGCAUAAUAUAAGAACCAAAAGGAAAAGAGACAAACCUAGAUCAUUCAUUUCUUGGUAAACAAAAUGAAUGCACAAAAACUGAAAGGUAGAAAGAACAGAGGAAAACAGAGCAUAACUAAGGCACAUUUAGAACGAGUGCCUGGAUUUGUUCACAUAGGGACAUAUCAGCACAACAAUUUACAAAUUCCAUGGUUCAAACUUCCGAAGUCUCCCACACGGCCACACGGCCACACCAAUAGAAAACGCUUCAAUUCUCCUUGAUAGAAUUAUACGUUGGAAGAGCUCCUAAAAGAACCCGAAGCCUUAGCAGCUCCUGCUCUCAAUAUGUUUUGGUGAUACAAAGCUGCAAUGGCUGCGCCAAUAAAGGGUCCAACCCAGAAGAUCCACUGCAACAAUCAUGAAAGAUAAGUUCAUCAAGUUUAGACUUUAGUCCAGCAAUAACGAAAUUCGUCUGCAAGUGAAAUUAUGAGCGUAAGGAAAAGGUGCAUACAUGGUCAUCCCAAGCCUUCUCAUUGUUGUAUAUCACUGCAGCUCCGAAACUUCGAGCCGGGUUGAUACCUGUGCCAGUGAUUGGGAUUGUGGCAAGGUGAACCAUGAACACAGCAAACCCAAUUGGUAGUGGUGCCAAUACCUUUCAUUGAUCAAACACAAAGAUAUAUUUAGUAACUUAAAAUCAAGUUUCUUUUCUUAACUACUGUAGAUUAAUUUAACUACUUACUGGGACAUGGGAGUCCCUUGCAUUUCUCUUGGGAUCGGUGGCAGAGAAGACAGUGUAGACAAGAACAAAGGUGCCUAUAAUCUCAGCAGCCAAUCCAGUGCCUUCGCUGUACCCAUCAGCUAGUCCAUUAGCUCCACCACCGUAGUUGCUGUACAAAGCACUCUGGAAUGAUUUCACAAGCCCACACCCACAUAUUGCUCCCAAGCAUUGAGCCACAAUAUACAAUACAGCUCUGGGUAGUGACACCUUCCUUGCCAAAAACAACCCAAAUGUGACAGCAGGGUUUAUGUGCCCUCCUACAUUCAAAAAUUGAUUAGAACAUUGUCAGCAGGCUAGGGUUAAUUUGAUUUUCUUGAAAUUAAAAGGUUUGAGAAUGAAAAGAGAUGAAGUUAACCUACCAGAGAUUCCAGCAGUGCAGUAGACAAGGACAAAGAUCAUGCCACCAAAGGCCCAAGCAAUGCCAAGAAUGCCAACACCACCACAUUGGUCUCCACCUUUGAGAGUGUCACUCUGGCUUUUGUAUCCAAUCACAGUGAGCACAGUGAUGUACAAGAACAAGAGCGUAGCGACGAACUCAGCAAUGAUGGCUCUAUAAAACGACCAUUUUCCGAACUCCUCCGGAUCGAUUAAUGGUGUUGGCGGUGGGUCUUGGUAGUCCUUGGCAGCAAACCCUCCAACUUCAAUAUCGCGGCCCAUGGCUAUAAUAACAAGCUUGGUUGAUCGAGGUAGAAUCAGACGGAGGAAGAGAGUAGUGAGUGAGUGUUGUGUUGGCUUUGAAAAAGAUUGUUAGUGUUUGUGAUGAGAAAGUGUGGAGAACUGAGGGGUUUAUAUGGGAGGUUUUUCUUGGAGUCGAGUGAAAGUGGAGUAGGAUUAUUAAACUUGUGCAUUUGCCGUCCGAGCCUUCAAGUUCCACAAAUUUUGUUUGCCUAUCUCUUUCUAUGACCGACCUUGUCUAACGCAAGUAGUUUAAAGAUAGUUCCGGUAAGCACUACAAGUAAUCAAAUUAAGGGGUCAUCCGACUCAUUUGCGUGAGCUAUGAUUAUACUUACUAUUAUGUCCAUAUUACUCGUCAUUGGGGCAGGAAGGGACUACCGGAGAGGAGCUAAAACAACUUUCAUGACCUCAUUGACAUCAUGAAUCACCUCUCCACCACCUUGAAUCGAAUAAGUUUCCCCAAUUCUUCCCCGAAUUGAUCUCAACAUAAACUCAAACAUGAGUGAAAAAAGAAAAAAAACAAAGCAAAUUAAAUUAAAGAAUAAGUGGACGUUAUAUUCGACAUGUAUAAAUUGGUCAAAAAAAUCUGUUUACCUGUUAAAAAGUUAUGAAUUUUGUAAUUGUUCGAUCAUAGAACACUUGAGUGACCUUAAUAUACUGUGGGAGAAUUCAUCUACCUUAGUAAUAUAUACAGCGUUUGUGGUUUUGUAGUAAAAAUGUAUGAACAAAUACUACAUGAAAAUUGUGAGGUUGGUGAAAAUUGAAAAAUGGCGCGAGCAUGCAACCGACCGACCAGUCAUCACCACCGCCCCAUUCAAGUUCCAACUCAGACCAACAUCACCCUCCCAACCACUCACAUCAGGCCACGUUUCGCUUCAAUCAAUGUUCUUAGAUUAAUCACUUUGAUGAGUGUUUAUGUCCUAAUCACAUUAUCCUUAAGCAAUAAUAGACAACAAAAGACAAACUCAAUUCCAACCAAAUGUUACUAUAAGAAAAAGAAAAAGAGUGUGGCUGGUUUGAAGCCACGUGUCACGCAAAUAGAGAGUCUUCCAGAUCACUGGUGGCUCAACUUUUUAACUUCCUUGUUUUUUUGGUUAAAUUUUCAAAUUUUAAGGCUUAAAUCAUAUGUAAGAAAGAAAAAUAGCAAAAGAAACGAAACAAGUUAUAUGAUGAUCUUUUAAUUUCUCUUGAUUAUAAAACUGAGACCUGAAAAUGAGCGAAAUAAGAAGGUUUACACUUUAAUUUCAAAAUGGGACACCGCUGUGAAAGAAAACUGAGAUUGCCUAAACACGACAUCUCUUAUCUCAAUGACACCAAGACCAAAUGAGAACAUGAUGAACGACAUUGAGUUUUGUUUUGCGGUCUAAAACUCUAAUACUGUCACAUCUCGACCCUUAAAUUUUUACAUUAUUUACUAGCUUGAUUAUAAUAAGAAUUUUACCGUCUUCGUCAAUGAAGUUAUAGUUUAAUUGGUCCCUAGAGGGCUUUAGACGGACGAUUAAUUUCGGAGGAUUAUUCGUAGGAGAAAAAUAUGUCAACGGUAAAAAUGGUAAAUUUUAGCUAGUAAAAGGUAAUUUUUAUUAGAUUUAUUUUUUUCGGGGUGUUUUAUUUUGGAGUAAGUGUGGGUAUUUAGGUUUUGGACCGGUUGGGUGAGGCCCAAACCCAUCUCCCUCUCUUUCUUUUCUCUCUCUCUUUCUCCCGGUUUUCUCCCGAGCUCUCCCGACCCGGAAACUUUCCGGCCGCCGUCCGCCGCCAUCCGGCCGAGAUAGGAGGCGUGCUUGGUGUCAAAUUGAAGCUUGGAGCAUCCUCUACAAGUUUGGAUACGUGGCAGCCCGUGUCGCGUCGCCGUGAAGGAGAUCGAUUGCCGAAAAGUCACGGCUGUGCGCGGGGGCAUUCUCGGCUGAACUUCUUUUUCCGGCCACCAAUGUCACACCCCGUUCUUAAGUUAUUUUAUGGUUAUUUACCUUGGUAUUAUUUUGGUCUUUUACCGUGUUAAGUCACCGUUUACCACUUAAGGACCCUAGAGUUGACUUUUUCUUGCGUUUGAAAUUUGGGAAAACUUUCUUCAUGAAAGUCGUAGAGGACGUUUUUACGAGUUCGUUGACAUGCUAUGUGUUAAAAUCGAGGUUAACAUGAAAAAGUUAUGAAUUAAGAGAGUAAUUUUAUGAGAUGGUAAAAGGGGGUAAAUAUUAAUUGAGUAUAAUUUUUAGGUUUAAGUUUUAUGGACCGGGUGUGGGCAGCCCAACACCCCCACUCACCCCCCUCACUCCCUCACUCACUCACUCUCUCUUUUCCUCCCUUCUCUCCCGAGCCCCCAUCCCACCGAAAGUCUUCAACGCCAGCUGCCAGCCCACCCCAGUUCUGACCCCCAUCACCUCCUCUCUCUCCCCGGCCUAGCCCUCGAGCCGUUAGCCCGCCGGAAGAGGAGAAAACUCGCCGGAGACGCCGGGAAGCUUUUUGCCGAAAAUCUCACAUCCGGCCACCAUAGGUCGGAAUCUUUAGCUUAUCUUGUAGCCCUCAUCAAGGUGAGUAUUCCCUUAAAAGGAAUUAAUCUAUUUCGUUGUUGUUAUGGAAAAAUGUAUAAUUGAAGUUUUUAGGGAUUUAUGGAAGUUUUGAUUCGUUUGCCCUAGUUAGCCUUAAAAAUGGACUAAGUGCUAGUUAUGAAUGUUGUUGAGCAUGAUGAGAGGAAUAUUCUGUGAAAAUUUGAGAAGCAUUGGCCCUCGCCGGAAUCCGGCUGCCGGCCGGCACUGCCGCCCCUUAGGGGCAGUUUUUCAUGAUUUUGGGUUUGUUUUAAUGAGAGGAGUUUAAUGAAGUAUAGUUGGGAAUUUUUGAAGGAGAUUUGAUAAGGUUUGGGAUUUAUCAAUGAUAAAGGAUUUAAGCGGUUAUUCGAAUGGAAAUCCGGCAGUUGGUUUAACAGGUUUUAAAGUCUAAAAAGGUUAAAUUAUGGCUUUUGGUAAGUGCGGAGUAAUGUGAGCCUUAUUAGGUAAAAAGUGGAGAAGUUGGGAAAGAGAAAAGAAAUUAUAGGCUUCCUUUAUAUUUUAGAAAUUUUAUUAAAGUUUUGUCCUGGUUUGGAGGCUUAAUGAUUAUUUAUUGUUCAGGACGUGAGGAGGAUCAUUUGGAGGAAGCCUUGGGCCGUCGGCAAGCAUAGCCAAGCACUGUGAGUGGACUUUUGAUUUUAAUAUCAUGUAUGCGCUAAAGUUAUUUAAUUUCAAAGGCAUUUGGAGAUAUAAUAUUUUGUUGGAUUAUCGAGUUCCACUUAUUUUUUUCCGGAACUCUUGCUAAUUUUAGUUGACACGUGGGACGUGUCAAGUGUUUUAUAUUAUUUCCAUGUACAGUUGGGAACUGUACUGUGCGCUAUGAGUUUAUUAUAAUUUAUUAGGGGAAGUGUGGAUCAUUUUAUUUUAAUAUUGUGCUUCACCAUAAAAGGGUUGAUAUAUAGAUUAUUGCUAGCUAACCUUAUUAGCGGUCCUCAUCAUAUGUGAGUCGUUAUUAUAGUCUUAUUAGCGGUUCUCAUCAUAUGUGAGUAGAGCGCUUAGCGUGGGACGCUAUUAUAGCCUGGGAGGCAACCGAUCGGUAUAUAUAUAUAUUUAUUGUUAGCUAGCCAUUAUUUAGCGGUCCUCAUCAUAUGAGAGUUGAGUGCUUAGCGUGGGACGCUAUUAUAACUUUAUAAGCGUCCUCAUCAUAUGUGAGUAGAGCGCUUAGCGUGGGACACUAUUAUAGCCUGGGAGGCUCAUUGUUAUGGUGAAACCUCUUCCCUAUUCUUAUUGAUUUAUUGGGAACCAAUGGGAUUGGUUCAUUAGUUUUGUCUAUAAUUAUUUUCGGAAAGAUUUCCAAGAAUGACAUGCAUAAAAUAAAUAUUUUCUCAAUGGAAAAUAUGGGAAAAGCGUUAAAUUGAUUUCAAUGCUCUAUCAUUAAGUCCUUAUUUUUAUUAUUUAUUUUGUCCACUCACUCUAACGUUUUAAAUGCUUUCCCCUAGGCCUUUUGUUUUAAAUGCCCAGUCUGCAGAGUUCUGUUCGGCUAGGGUAGGAGGCGAGUCAUAUUUCCCACCUCAUCCAGUUUUCUCUCAUAGGUUACUAGUUAACCUACCUAUGUAUUUCCUUCUUUCCUAGUAGAUGCUCUGAAUAACCAUGAGAUGUUUUAAGUGAUAUUAAGAUUGUUUUUAUUGUGGUUGUGAAAAAGACAUAUUUGGUAUGUUUGUAUGAGAGAUUAAAUUCAUGAAAGUAUUUUGAUUUUUUUUUAUGUGAGUUGAGGUGGUGGAUGUUUAUUGGGGGAGCGGAUGGCUCCAGAAGAUGUGGAUUAAAUUGUUUUAGAAGUGUAUCGGCUUUGAUGAUUUUUCUUUCAGGUAGGGUUACUCAUUUUCAAGGGAGGUUAUGCCAAAAUUUUGGUAGAAUUUCCCUUGAGGUGGGUCCCGCAAGGUUUAUUCCGGAUUUCAAGGGGAAAUCCGGGGUAGGUCCUGACAACCAAAAUCGGAGCUACCGGUCUCGUCUUGAAGCUCUCCCUUCCAGCAGCAAACCCCUAAAAGGAUUCAUCCUAACUCGAGCUAUGUAAGGAGAAUUGAAGGUUUAAAGUUUCUAGGGUUUUUCUAGUAUGUUUUCGUUCGAUUGGCAUAGUUAGGCUUGGAAUUGGGUGUUGUGCUAGUUAGGAAAGUUGUAGAGGGAGUGGAGAGGAAGCUGCUGUUAAAAUUUGGUAGGAAUUGGAGGUUGCCGGAAUCGGCCUCCGGCCGCUGCUGCCGGCAGGGCUGGCGCCGGUUGGGAGAUUUUAAUAUUUUUAAAUUUGGAAUAUUAAGGGGAGUUUAUUGAAGUGAAUUAUGGAAUUUUUGGAUGAGUUUUGGAUAGGUUUAUGAAUUUCCGAAGUUUGGUAAUUUUGGCGGAUUAAUAAGGUAGAAUCCGGCCGUUGGAUUAAAGUCGUAUAAUCUGUGGAAGGGUGUAGUUAAGGCUGCUGGUUUUAGUGUUGAAGUGUGGACCGUAUCGAAGUUAGCCAAUGAUGAGUGUGAGUCUGGCUCUCGGUUAAUUUUGCCUAUUUUGUUUAAAUAUUGGAUUUUUAGUUGGGAAAUUAAUUUUACAUUUGGAAACAGGACGUGAGGAGGCUCAAGCAGAAGAGACUCGGAUCGACGUCAGGCUUAGGCCUAAAGUUGUGAGUGGACCUUUGUUUUAAUUAAAAAGCAUGCGAUGAAUUAUCUGUUGAUCAUUUAUUUCUUUUCUUGAGAUUUAUUUCUUUCUCGGAUAUUUGACAAUUUUCCUCCUUUGGAGAGAUCCCGAAAAUGAGAUUUUCGGUGGAUAUGUUUAUGGAUAUUAUGAGUAUAGUAUGUAUAUAAAUGCUAGCUAGCCAUACGUGCUUGGUCCAUCAUAAUGAGGUAAAAUGUCAUUAUAGCGUGACGUGAGUGUUAGACACUAGCGUCAUAACCAUAUAUGAAAACUAUUUUCUUUUCUGGUUUAUUUAGGUUUUCAUAUAGGGAGUCCACACGUAUAUAAAUACACCGUCCUCUUCGGUCAUAAUGAGGAAAAAAUUUCAUUAUGGCGCAACGUGAGACGUGAGCGUUAUGAAUCUCUAUUUUUCUAAAUUGUUUCUAGGAUUCAUACAAGGAAUCUGACGAGUGUAAAUACAUUCGAAUAUAUGAUUAUAUAUAAUUUAGCCUGAGAGGCUCUAUUUUAUUUGAGUUGGUGACUAGCCGGAGCUAGUCGUGGAAUUGACAGUUUAUGAGUUGAGCACUUUUGAGUUGCUGUAUGCAGUAUAUUUUCUUUGGAAAUUUAAAAUGGGAAUGCAUAAAUAUUUUUUUAUAAUUUAUUUUUGUCCAUUCACUCUAACGUGUUUCAAAUGUUUUCCCCUGGACCCUUCGUUUUAAAAUGCCCAGUUGGCAAGUUUGCAUAGUUGAGGUCGGGCGUACAUGAAGAAGAGGCAUAAUCAAUAGUAUAGCUUCUGCUCAUUUCUAAAUUUCUAAUUUUUUUCAUCUUAGUUAGAAUUGCUCUGAACCUAUAAAUGGUUGGUUAUGAGAUUUGUUUAAAGUUAGUAUUUAAUUUGGGUGGUGUUGUGAUUUGGGGAGCACGAAGGCUCCAAAAGUUUAUGGUUGGAUUUAAAUUUUCAGAAGUGUUUACAGGUUUUAUUAGGAAUGGUUGUCCAUUUUCAAGAGAGGUUAUGCCGAAUUUUCGGUAAACUUUCCUUGGAGGUGGUCCUCGCAGGAUUUACUUCGAGUUUCAGGGUGAAAUUCGGGGUGGGUCCUGACAAAUACACACUUAGUUGGGCUUUUACUUGUUGGGCUUGCAAGACUCUGUCAACCCAAUUAAUCUUCCGGUCAACUGAUCAGGCCUUGCUAUGAGCAUAAUAAUUUAUCGGUAAAUUAUUAUCGUUAUAAUUUCUCCUUUAAGCACACCUUGAAUUCGAGACAUAUACGAAUAUACCUAAAAAUCACUUAAUCAAAACAAUCGUGACAUAAUAGAUUUGAAUGUUUGGCAAAUAACUACAUGUACAGGUCUACAGUGAUACAUUUUCCAUGUUCAAACCUAAUUCAUGCUAGAUAUGAGGAUUUGUUACCAACAUAAAUUUCAUUUCGUGCUUUCCACAUGCAUAAUAAUGCUAUAAAUGCAGUCCUUCUCCAACAUCUCAAAUGCUUUCUUUAGGAUAAUGUGCAAUAAGUUAUUGGAGGAAGUUAAGCAUAUACUUAUGAGACUAUAGUUUUCAACCACAAUUGAAAACUAAGAAAAUCAUACAUCAUAUUAUAAAAGCCGAUGUAGUAUGAACAACACCAGUAUGCAUAUGCUCAUCAACUGUCAUCUCUGUUGAUUUGAUUGUUUGAUGCAUGUACAUGGUAAUAGCUGGAUUCCUAUCUAAGACCUUAUAGAGAAGUAAUUUUUGGAAUUACUAGCAAAUACAAAAUCAUAUACUAAGUAAGGCGCUAAGUUUAUUGGAGUAGGAUUAUCAGUUUGCAUUAGGUAUAUGCUGUCACAUCCCGACCCUUAUAUUUUUACCUUAUUUACUAGCGUGAUUAUAAUAAGAAUUUUACCGUCUCCGUCAUUGAGUAAAUAGUUUAAUUGGUCCCUAGAGGGGUUUCGGGGACGAUUAUGUGCGGAGGAUUAUUCGUAUGAGGAAAAUACGACGACGGUAAAAAUAGUAAAUUUUAGCUAGUAAAAGGUAAUUUUUAUUCGGGUAUUAUUUUUCGGGGUGUUGAAUUUUGGAAUUUUGGGUUAAAAGGAGAGUUGGGUCGGCUGGGCCGAGCCCAACCCAUUUCUUCUUCCUUUCUCUCUCUCUCCCUCCCGAUUUUUCUUCUCUUCCCACCCGGUUUUUCUCCUUUCUCCACCCGGAAAGUUCUCCACCGCCGUCCGCCGCCGUCCGGCCGCCCCAGACCGCCACACCGGUCCCAAUCGAUCGGUCUCCCUCCCAGCAACAUUUCNNNNNNNNNNNNNNNNNNNNNNNNNNNNNNNNNNNNNNNNNNNNNNNNNNNNNNNNNNNNNNNNNNNNNNNNNNNNNNNNNNNNNNNNNNNNNNNNNNNNNNNNNNNNNNNNNNNNNNNNNNNNNNNNNNNNNNNNNNNNNNNNNNNNNNNNNNNNNNNNNNNNNNNNNNNNNNNNNNNNNNNNNNNNNNNNNNNNNNNNNNNNNNNNNNNNNNNNNNNNNNNNNNNNNNNNNNNNNNNNNNNNNNNNNNNNNNNNNNNNNNNNNNNNNNNNNNNNNNNNNNNNNNNNNNNNNNNNNNNNNNNNNNNNNNNNNNNNNNNNNNNNNNNNNNNNNNNNNNNNNNNNNNNNNNNNNNNNNNNNNNNNNNNNNNNNNNNNNNNNNNNNNNNNNNNNNNNNNNNNNNNNNNNNNNNNNNNNNNNNNNNNNNNNNNNNNNNNNNNNNNNNNNNNNNNNNNNNNNNNNNNNNNNNNNNNNNNNNNNNNNNNNNNNNNNNNNNNNNNNNNNNNNNNNNNNNNNNNNNNNNNNNNNNNNNNNNNNNNNNNNNNNNNNNNNNNNNNNNNNNNNNNNNNNNNNNNNNNNNNNNNNNNNNNNNNNNNNNNNNNNNNNNNNNNNNNNNNNNNNNNNNNNNNNNNNNNNNNNNNNNNNNNNNNNNNNNNNNNNNNNNNNNNNNNNNNNNNNNNNNNNNNNNNNNNNNNNNNNNNNNNNNNNNNNNNNNNNNNNNNNNNNNNNNNNNNNNNNNNNNNNNNNNNNNNNNNNNNNNNNNNNNNNNNNNNNNNNNNNNNNNNNNNNNNNNNNNNNNNNNNNNNNNNNNNNNNNNNNNNNNNNNNNNNNNNNNNNNNNNNNNNNNNNNNNNNNNNNNNNNNNNNNNNNNNNNNNNNNNNNNNNNNNNNNNNNNNNNNNNNNNNNNNNNNNNNNNNNNNNNNNNNNNNNNNNNNNNNNNNNNNNNNNNNNNNNNNNNNNNNNNNNNNNNNNNNNNNNNNNNNNNNNNNNNNNNNNNNNNNNNNNNNNNNNNNNNNNNNNNNNNNNNNNNNNNNNNNNNNNNNNNNNNNNNNNNNNNNNNNNNNNNNNNNNNNNNNNNNNNNNNNNNNNNNNNNNNNNNNNNNNNNNNNNNNNNNNNNNNNNNNNNNNNNNNNNNNNNNNNNNNNNNNNNNNNNNNNNNNNNNNNNNNNNNNNNNNNNNNNNNNNNNNNNNNNNNNNNNNNNNNNNNNNNNNNNNNNNNNNNNNNNNNNNNNNNNNNNNNNNNNNNNNNNNNNNNNNNNNNNNNNNNNNNNNNNNNNNNNNNNNNNNNNNNNNNNNNNNNNNNNNNNNNNNNNNNNNNNNNNNNNNNNNNNNNNNNNNNNNNNNNNNNNNNNNNNNNNNNNNNNNNNNNNNNNNNNNNNNNNNNNNNNNNNNNNNNNNNNNNNNNNNNNNNNNNNNNNNNNNNNNNNNNNNNNNNNNNNNNNNNNNNNNNNNNNNNNNNNNNNNNNNNNNNNNNNNNNNNNNNNNNNNNNNNNNNNNNNNNNNNNNNNNNNNNNNNNNNNNNNNNNNNNNNNNNNNNNNNNNNNNNNNNNNNNNNNNNNNNNNNNNNNNNNNNNNNNNNNNNNNNNNNNNNNNNNNNNNNNNNNNNNNNNNNNNNNNNNNNNNNNNNNNNNNNNNNNNNNNNNNNNNNNNNNNNNNNNNNNNNNNNNNNNNNNNNNNNNNNNNNNNNNNNNNNNNNNNNNNNNNNNNNNNNNNNNNNNNNNNNNNNNNNNNNNNNNNNNNNNNNNNNNNNNNNNNNNNNNNNNNNNNNNNNNNNNNNNNNNNNNNNNNNNNNNNNNNNNNNNNNNNNNNNNNNNNNNNNNNNNNNNNNNNNNNNNNNNNNNNNNNNNNNNNNNNNNNNNNNNNNNNNNNNNNNNNNNNNNNNNNNNNNNNNNNNNNNNNNNNNNNNNNNNNNNNNNNNNNNNNNNNNNNNNNNNNNNNNNNNNNNNNNNNNNNNNNNNNNNNNNNNNNNNNNNNNNNNNNNNNNNNNNNNNNNNNNNNNNNNNNNNNNNNNNNNNNNNNNNNNNNNNNNNNNNNNNNNNNNNNNNNNNNNNNNNNNNNNNNNNNNNNNNNNNNNNNNNNNNNNNNNNNNNNNNNNNNNNNNNNNNNNNNNNNNNNNNNNNNNNNNNNNNNNNNNNNNNNNNNNNNNNNNNNNNNNNNNNNNNNNNNNNNNNNNNNNNNNNNNNNNNNNNNNNNNNNNNNNNNNNNNNNNNNNNNNNNNNNNNNNNNNNNNNNNNNNNNNNNNNNNNNNNNNNNNNNNNNNNNNNNNNNNNNNNNNNNNNNNNNNNNNNNNNNNNNNNNNNNNNNNNNNNNNNNNNNNNNNNNNNNNNNNNNNNNNNNNNNNNNNNGAGAGAGAGAGAGAGAGUUAAUAUCGGGAAAAAAAAGGAGAAAAAGAGUUAAAUUAGGGUGAGGGUAUUGACGUCCUUUUAUUAGAAUUCAUUGAAAUGAGGUUGGUAAAGAUUUUCAUUGGAAUGGGCAAUAAACCUUUAAAAUUAGUACUAAAGUGUCAUUUACUCAAAUAUUUAUAGUCAAAAGAUGGGGCUUGGGCCUUAGGCUCUAUUGAUUAAAAUCUGUUUUUAACUUCUGAAAUAUUUUUGGAAAUUAAAAUUGGAUAAGACCAAAAUAACUGUUGGAGAACAGUUACAACUGUAUCGGCAAAUGCAACUGUUCGAUUUUGACUUUAUAGAUAGGGCAACAUUGUUGUCGUCGUUCCCAUCAAAACAUACAUCGCUCUUCUUCUUCCUCCCCUAUUCUUAUUUCAGAAAAGCAUACUGUAAAUUCACCAAAGACAAGUUCUUGUGCAAGAACUUGUACCUAUCUUCAAGAUAGACGUCUGAAACUGCAGCAUAAAUGGGGGCGAAUUUCUGUCUUAGGUCACUGCAUUGCAGGCCUCUAUCUAAUCAAAUUAGUGAAUUUCAAUUGUGUCUUAUUGUUGUUUGUAUGUUCAAUUUGAUUAUUG